rnacentral:lncRNA from 1 species
AAGAUGUCUCUUAUCAUACAUUCAAAAUUCAAUUUGUAAAAUACUAACUUGGUUUUCAUGAGGUUUACGAUCAGAAUCACACCAUUAACCUUUCUUUCAUAAGACAAACGGGGAAAAAAAAACUAUCUUCAAAGGAAAACUACAGCAGCAGUGUAAAUUCUAAAUACUGAACAAUUUGAUUACUUGAUCAUUAUAGUCAUACUAACAUUACUAAAUCUACCAUCACUUUAUUCGUAUUUCAUCUUUUUUUUUUGUUCCUCAAUUCUAAUCACACACGUUCCUUAAUUACUCUACAUGCAUAAAGAUUGGGAAAGAACAAAAUCAAGAAAGUUCAUAAUGGAAUUUUUAGGCUUAUCCUGUAGGGGCCAAUUGAAAUAGCUUCUCUGCUUGAUCAGGGAAGAAUGUAACGAAUAAAUAUGCACCUGAAAAUUUCAUUUAAACAAAUCAAUAGCAGCAUAAAAAGUAGUGAUAGAAAUAUGCUAUAAGAAAAGACUCACAAACAAGAAUAGUUCCCAACACAGUUGAUAUUUUUCCUUGGAUUGUCACCAAACCAGCUUUGCCUGCAUCCUCCAACUUUGAGGACCCAACAGAAUCAAAUGUCCCUACAGAAUUGAAAUAGUUUAAUUGAUUAUCCUAAAAUAUAAGUUAACUUCUAAAUAUAAGUCAAACAAUCACUAAACCUGGUUUUACAGUUUGAAGACCAGAUGUUAUGCAUGCUAUAUUUUCAAAACCAGCUUCCUCUAACUUAUUUGCAGCUGCUGCAGACCUUGACAAAGAACAAAGAAAAUCCCAAACUCUUACAUCAGACUAUUAAAACUCAAUGCAAGUACAGUGUAAAUUCAAGCCAAUUUAUAGGAAUUUGAUGUAUCUUUUUGUCCCACAACAUCUAGAAGUCCUUGAGGUGAAGUUUGUAGUUUUGUCCUUUUUAGUAUAUUAUUCAGGUGGCAUCAAUUUUCCCAUCAACAAUUGUCUCAUUGUCUCAUUGAAAAUCCAACUCGUAACCUUAACUCUAAUAGCAAUUGUUGACUCAAACUCUUUAUCAUUAGACAAAAAAUUAUAACUAAUAGUCAGAGUGAAAUUUUUUCCACUUAAAAGCGUAAUAGCUCCAGCAUCACAAUUCGAUUGUGAUUUAACUUACCUAACCUACGCCACAAGAUAAUUGAUAACAUAUGCAACAAUAUAUAUAACAUUUUAUGUGGCAUCAUUUUCUCUCUAAUUUGAGUCAAGUUACCCGUAAAUUCUCUUGCACUUGCACGAUAAAUAUUGGAUGAUGGACUAUGAGCUUCUUUAGAAAUAGUUACUUUGGUGAGACCUUGGAAGUUGGACACUAAAAGCAUUUAUGCAGAACGUUGAAGUAUGAAAUUCAUUCAUAUAGGAAAUGACCUUGGUCUUAUUCCAUAAAAUAUAUUUGACUAAGAUGAGAAAAAGACCGCCUUAAAGAAAAACAGGCAAUGAAACUACAAGCAUGAGUACAAAUUUCUUAGAUUGUCCCAUAAUGGAACAGUUCUUGAAAAUCUUGUAUCCCCCCUCUCCUCACAAUCCAAACAAAACACAAAUACUUUGUAGUUUGUGGCUUUAGAUAUGGGUUGUAAUAUAUAGCUGUAUAAGCUUGAAUAACUGAGAAGCUUGACACAAGGAUAUCUUUUAACACAUAAAUAAAAUUAUAUCUGACUAAAGAAUUAAUUUCAACAACUUUUUAUCUCAUUAUUUAAAAGGAAUAUUUUACAUCCUAAAAGACAUGUUAUAUCAUCAACAGUUCAGUACUCUUUUCAAUGAGCUUUUAUUUCAAAGCUAGAGUACAAACAAAAUAUACUCUCACUUCUUCCUCCUACCCUCAUACAACCUCACUGUCAUCUCUUCUUUUACUAUUAAGUCACCAAUUAGCCUUGAAUAAUCAAACCAAAGCUUCAUCUCUUUUUCAUCUAACAUUUAGAUAUUAGACUCUACGUAGUUAUUAUAUUACACAACCAUGCUAUGAGUAUAUGUAAUAUUGAAGCCAAUCAUAUAUAACGAAAAACAAACAUGAGAGUUGGGGUCUGUGUGUUCUACGAAGGUGAAGUUAAGGACCAAAACAUAUCAAUGCAAGCUUACUGUGAACAUGACCAGAUGGUGUAAAUAAUUUGCAGUCAAAUUGGGUAGGAAAUCAUAAACAAACCUCAGUCCUUCCUGGCAUACAACCAAGAGUUUACUUUCAGGUGGAAACUGGCUCUUAACAGAUUGUAUAAACUCAGGAUUUGGCUUAGUGAAUGGUAACCCAUAGAACAACCCAGAAAAAUUAUUGUGCAGCUGCCUUUUUAUAAUAGUACCUACAGAAAGCGAAAGUGACAGAGUAACAAAAUUGAAGCAGAAGAACAUGCCCACAUAAAACUUUUAGGAAGGAGAAACUCCAUACCGGGAUCAUUGUCUUUGUUUUCAACAAAAAGAGGCACAUGACUACAAGAUUUUAUGUGAGCUCGCUCAAAUUGAUUUUUGUCCCUCACAUCAAGAACAGCAUAUCCAUCCACUUCUACAAGUUCCUUCGCCUUGUCAGCGUUCACAAAAUUCACUUCUGCUUUUAUUGUCAAUCUUCUCAUUCCAGUUCCAGGUAGUUUCCCUGGCAGGGCCCUUGCAUUGUGAGUUUUUAAUACCAACCAACAUGUCCCUAAGUUGCUGAAAAAACAACCUUAAUCCCUCACAACCAUGUCCACAUAGAUUUUUCAAACGUUAACUGAACUUUCCCUUCACUACUGUUUUCACCAACAUGGUUAAUUUGAAAUGCAGAAUAUAAAGUUUUUUAUUUUACACGCUGAAAAUCUAGGAAAGAAAACCCCAAGAUAAAAUAAAGAUACUUUUUUGUGGAUUUGUUAUGCUAUGAGUAUAAAUAACCAUUUGAAGAUGUUAAAGAAAGAGAGAAGUUAAGAUGAGUUAGUUACCUGGAAGAGGAAAGACAGGAAGCGUAGAAACCAGUUCCUGCCAUUGUAUGAAAAUUGUUUCUAACUCAUAUCUAUCCGCUGAAGCUGUCUUUCAAAGUUGAACUCACUCGUGCCACCUGUUAAAUUUAAUGGGCCAUGAAAUUUGCAAUCAGCAAUGGUUUUCUGCCACGUGUCAAAUAUCUACAAAAUCUUAAAGCCUUCAAGAUUCUAUAACCUCAUCACUGGUACCCUUGUUGGUGCUGGCUAACAGUGAUAGCUGUUUGUUUAGCUCAACAUGUAUAUUUUUUUUCAUAAGACUUAAUUUUCAAAAGAUCUAGUUUUCAAAAUAAAAUAAAAUAAAAAUCUUCUAAUUAAGCUUAAUCAAAUAGAAAUAAUUAUAAUACAAUAUGCCAAAGUAGAAACUGAACCAUUAAUUUCAGCCACAUUUUGAGACAGCCAUAAAAAAGGUCAGCAAAAAAAAUAUAUAGGAUAUUUCUAUAAAUACUGUAUUAAUAGUUAAUGAAAUCUUAGUUUCGUAAUGAUUUUUUUAAAAUCAUUUUUUAUUUAGCAAUGAUUUCAUAUAUAAUUUGUAAGAAAACACAAUGAUAGGAGAGUAAUCAUAAGCCUUGUUUUUUUGUUAAGAAGUUUGGAGGAAGAGAACAAUAUAAUAUAACCACUAAUUAUCCAAUAGUCGACGUUCUUCGUUGGAUGUAGUGAAAAAAACCAUGAAGCUGAAACAUGGAGAUGGUUUUCAGUUCUCAAUACUAAACAUUCGUAGUACAUGAAAAAAUUGAAUAGUUUUUUUUUUUUACAGUAUGAUAUCUUUCUACACAUUUCACUGAAAACAUAUUUCCAUCUAGUCUAUUGUUAUUCUAAAAUAUAUUACAAAAAUAAGCAUUCUAAAAAUAUAAUAUAAUUUUGUGUGUUCAAAAUAAGCAUUACGAGAAAACAUUACCAAUUAACAAUGCAUUCCAAAAUAUAUUUCCUUUAAUACAUUUAAAUAUCUUUACGAAAUAUAAAUUCCAGAAUAUAUUCAUACAUAAUAUAUUAUUUCUUUUAUAUUAUCAAAACUUCGUUUCAAACUAAUCCUUAAAAAUAAGUAAAAUUUGAUUAAAAAUAAUUGUCGAAGAUAAAAAAAGUAUCAUAAUAUACUAUUUAGACAUCUUUUCCAGACUUUAAAUACACACACAUAACAAAUAACAAUUAUUAAAUAUCAAGAUCAAUUACUUUAACAAUUAACAUAAUUCAAAAUAAACUAACAAAUUUUAAAAAAUUAUAUUUUUUCACUAAAAUUGUAAUUUUUUUCUUAUUACCUACUAUUUACCUUUAAAAUACUAUUAAAUACAAAUUCCAAAAUAUCAUUGUAUUGAGAAUCUCAAAACUAUCGCCAAGGAAGAACAUUGACUAUUGGAGUAAUGUGUAACAUAGAUUAACCCACAACAGCACACUUAUUGGAAUUUAACCAGUUCGGCAUCACCAACUUACAUAAGAAACAAAAUGGAAAAACUGCGAAGUAUGAAAUUCCAACUCAAAACAAAGAGACGGGUCUACAAAAGAGUGAUCCACUCUUUCCUAUCAAUUUGAAAUGUCUUCGGUCAUAGAAGUGCAUAAAUUAAUAAUUAUUCUUCAGUACUGGUUCUUUUCUUUGUUGUGUAAGCGGCAUACUCCUUCCCCUCGUCAUGUUUUAAUGUCUGACCACCGAAAUCAAUAUAUGCAGAUGUGAAUGCCAACGCUGAUCCAGCAGAAAGUGCACUUUUGAUGCUCCUUCCUGCAAUAGAAUGAACAGAACAUAAAACUUGCUACGAAAACAGCAGAUUCAGGGUGACUUAUUUAGAUUAUAAAGUUGGUAAUCCUGGUUUUGUAAUUAAUAUCAGAUUCAGAAAGGUAACUUAAAACACUUCCUAAGAAAUUUUUAAGGAAGGCUGACUGUUAAACAACAACCUCAUGAUGAGAAACCAUGUUUAAGUUAGACAAUUGUAGCCGACAACAAGCAAAUAUGCAUAAGGCUGCAAAUCAUGGGCUCUCUUCCAUGUAAAAAUAUCAUAGUCAACCAGGAUGAACUUAUAAUGAACUGUGUAGGCAGGCAAAUGGAGAGACUCAAAAGUUUGCAGUAUAAGCCAACAGUGAUGUGACAUGAAACUAACAAAUAGGUAUGCUUGGGUGUUGGGAUGGAGGGUUUUGAAGUGAAAGGAAAUGGAGGAUAAAUCAUUUAUCUCAAGUAAAUAUUUUCUAAUAUAAGAAACUUAUAGAAUGAAAGAAAUAAAAUAGUGAAUUCUCACAAAACCUUCCAAUCAUUCUUUAUCCGAUUUUAUACACUACAAAACUUUAUUAAUUCGAAAAUACCACCAUCCUUUCCUUUCUACAAAAAACCUUAGAACAAAGGAACCAAUAAUCCAACACAAGUAAUAAACAAGUCAGAACUUGAAGUAGAGGAUUUCCACAAAAAUCUUAAGACCAAUAUCAGCCCAAUAUAUCAUACUUUGCAGUUUGCAGUGAGAAAAUGGAACAGUGAGCAACAAAAAUAGUUACAUUAUACAAUUAUUAAUAACUCCAUACAAGGUCAAUAGGCAGGAAGAAACAACAUGUAGUAUAGUAGCUAGAACAAACAAUCACUUAGAUUUCCUUUUAAAAAUUUCAGGCACAUGUUUAGCUAAAUAAUUCAACAAGUGAGCAAAAUACAAUGCAUAAACUUCUUACACAAAAUGGAGCUGCUUUACACCAAUGACUGAAGAGACCAAUAGAAGGGUAUAAAAUAAAGAAAGACAGAUAAACAUAGAAGCAGUAGAAAUCAAGCAUCCAUGAAUCUAUAAUAGUAAAUUAGUAAUAUGAAUAAAAAUAAAAUGAGUUUCUUCAUAAGUUAAAAUUAACUCAUGCACAAGUUGAAAAAUAAAAAAACUUAGAAAGUCAUAUGUGAGAACUUAUACAAAGUAGCUUAUGCAUAUACUAAUUUUAACUUUUGGAGAAACUCAUUUUUGUCUCCUCAAAAGUCUUGAAGAGAAGUUACUCCAAACAAACUCAAAGUAAUGCUUAAAACAUAUAUAAGGGAAAGAAAUUAACCACAAAAAUUACCAUUUUACAACAAUUCUAUACAACAAUCCAUGACGCACAACACAGCUUGAUAUAUAGACGCUUCCACAUGUCAGAACCAGUUUGAACACAAGACAUGGUGCAGACAAGACAUGGAAGUGGUGUUGGACACAGCCCACCAAAACCAGACAUGACCCAGUCACCGGACACACCAGUGAUGACACAGUCCAGUCACCAGUUUCGUCAAUGAAGACAUGGCCCAAUUACCAGACACACCAGCAAUGUUAAACCAUGUUAAAAAAUAAAGGAGAAAUGUUAUCUUUACCCUUACCUUCACAAGAAACCAGAACAAUUCUAAGAAUGAACUGAGAAAUGUCAAGCAGUAUGGCACAGACGAGAAGAAACGUGUAGAAGUGGUGAAGACUCUGAUUGCUACUGUCAAUUGCAAUCAAAGAAUAAUGCGACUGUCUUACGUACCAUUCCUCACUGGCGAGUAGUGAGCAAUUUCCCGCAGCCCAAUAAUACUUGUGUUGUGUCCCCUUUUCUCCCCACUCUUGUAACCAUCUUUUUCUUUUCUCUUUCUAUUGCUACUCCAAUUCAAUUAUUUUAUUCUAUUUCCUCGCCUCCCAUACAUAACUGACUAACUUUUUCCGGUUUCUCCAUAGUUUUACAAUUUUUCUUUUACUAUUGGAGUUAUAUUAUGAUGUGACCCCGUGUCUUGGGUUUUUUAUAUUUUGCAGUGUCUUGUGUUCAAAUCAAUGCUACAUAGACAACAACAAUUAAGCCUUUUUUCCCAGAAGGUGGGAUUGGCUACAUUACAUAGACCACAUGAUGCCAAAAUGUUCUAUCAUAAGUUAUAUCUAUAGACAUAUUAUUUACCCCCAGUCCUUAAUUGUUUCUCCUGUAGCAUUUCUAGGUCUACCUUUGCCUCUAGCCACUGGAUUACCCUUCAUCUGAUCUACUCUCCUUAUAGGGCUUCAACACCACCUAAGGAAACAUACUAUCAUCUUUUCUACAAUACGUGCUACCCCAACAUUUUGUUUGAUGCAUUCAUUCCUAAUUCUAUCUUGUCCACUAAUCUAUUGCAACAUGUUCAACUUACAUUGAGUUUAUUCAUUUGUCAGUGUUUUCCAACCCUCCUAGUAUAACAUGCGGGUACAAUGAAAAGUUAGCAUCAACAAAAUAUAACAUGGUUAUGACAUAGAAACCUCCUAGGUCCAACAGAAAUCUAUUUUAUGCUCUCCAAACACAUAACAACCAAUCAAUGAAUAAUGCACAAUUGAAUGAAAGCAAAAAAAACUUGUAGCUUCUUUUUUGGGACAAAAAAUGUGCCCAAUAUAAGGAUCUCCCAGUGACAGUGGUGACAGUGGUGACAGUGAAAAGCAACAAAAGACCAAGCUUUCAAUGAAAACCUAAAAUGAAACAAGACCAGCAAAAAGGGUUAAAGAAGAAAGGGUUGGCCAUAGAUAACCCUCCCGUACACAUAGAAACACACAUACAACCACAAAAGAUUAUUCUCGAAAGCCAAAGAAGACCAGAUGAUAGAUUGGCUUCCUAAGCCGGACAUGAAAAGUGCCAAAAGCCAUCAAGCACAAUGACAUAACCAAGUCAAAAAGACAAAAAAAACACAAUGUUCAAAUCUACUAAUUUCAGAGUGAAAUGGAUCGAGUCAUUGUCUGUGUGAUGCUUCUUCAAAAAUGAAUGACAAAUCAUAGCUCAAUAACAAACAUUUUAGAAUCCAGAUAUUAAAUAAAAUAAAUUCUCAAAGAUAAAUAUUUAUAACAGAAAAGGGCUACCUUUGUAACCCAGAAUAGUUGCACCAGCAACAAAUCCACCAACAGCUCCAUUGACUAGAUCCCUCUUCAUCCUAUAGUGCUGCACCAACUGCUCUACACCUAUGUAGACUCCUCCAAUGGCAGCAAAGGUAAAACCGUAGUUUCCCAUCAUCUUGAAAGUCCUAAUCAGACCUGGAAGGGCAACACUUCUCUCAACCCGAGGGACAUCAUACCAGGAGGCGACCACAGUACCCCAGAUAGUGCCAGCAACUAAACCAGUUGUUGCACCCUUAAUAGUUUUCAUGAGUGGUGUAUCCUCAUCCUCUAAGUACCUACGUUCUGCUGCGUCCACCAUGAUUUUCUCAAGACACUAUCAAAAAAUUAACACUACUCAUUAAUCAUGUCAAAAGAUAAAAGCUACAACACAACAUUUCAUACCACAACCAAUUACCACUAAAAAACACAGGAAAGACAGUUGUAAUCUCUCCUAACAAGAACAUUUUGACAGAAACCUAAUCCAGAUAAACGAGAUUAAGUUUCCAAGUAUCAUAAUGCUUUCAGAAUACACACACAGCAUAUAAAUUACUGACCAUUUUUCCAAUGAUAAGAAAACAUAAUUACAGGAAACAGUGGUGGAAUCAACAACUAGUAGAAAUACGCCGAACCAAUUCUACGAUAAGACCCGGUGAUAACCGAUCCAAAAAAUGAAUUCCAAACCGGAAAACAACAUUGGAAACAUCGGCAACAGAGAAUAACGCAUAGAAAUAUUAACAAUCAUAAAAAAACGAGUAUGAAGAAUCACACAUACAUUCAGAUCGAGGAACGUGCGCUACUUAAGAAAGUAAAUCAAAUGGAAACCCUAAACAGAUGAGUGGACAAGGUGGGAAUGGAGUUAGAGAAGAGAAAUUGAGGCACAAAUGCGAUAUUGAUGAAGAGAAAAAGAAAGUGUUAGCGGUGAGAAGAUAAAUAGGUACCUCCGAGAAAUUGAGAAGCGAAAAGAUGGGUACUCGUCACUGUAAACUAUGAAUGAACACCCUCGACUGCGAUAUUACAUCAGGAUUUUCUUCAUCAUAUUUUCAAUUUCUUUUUUAUAUUUACUUUAAUUUUAUGUACAGCACUUUAUUUUUAUAAAAUAUACUCAAAUUACAUUGUUGAUCUAAAUAAAAAUGCUUAGUCAUCCAAGCAAAGUCUUGCAAAUAAAUAAAAAAUAAUUAUAAUAAAAAAGAACAAUAGUCAUUAAACAAAAGUACUUGAAAUUAAUAAUCCGUGGAAAAAAUAGUAUAUCUUCAAAGAUAAUCUUUGUAACUAUUCGUUUUAGCUUAGUUCUCUAAACUAUAUUUUUAAAGUGAGUUCUUGAACUUGUGUUUUUUUUUAAUUGGGUCAUUUUGUCUGAUUACCUUCACGAAAAUAAAAUGAAAAUGUGUAAUAGACAAAAUUGAAUAAAAAUAAAAGUUUUAUUUAGAAUUGUUGUUGUGAAGCUCGAAGAGACUUCUGAUGUUUGGAUUAAAUUGUUUUGUAAAUAUUAAAACUCAAAUGGAAAAAGUCAAAUACCAUUUGUUACAUUGUUUUUUUCCAGACAUUUCAGAAACACAAACACCAGAUCGGAACCAAAAAUAUGAGUAGUUUCCAAAUCAACUUGUGUAUCGACUUCUCAUUAUUAUAUUUAAUUUAUUUUUUAAUUUAAAAUAUUAUUAUACUAUUAUAUUAUUAUAAUAAUUUGUCAAAUACAUAUAUUUUAAUUUUUGGGUUUCCACAAAAUAUUUCUAUUCAUUAUAUAUUUAUAAUAAAAUUUCUUAUGAAUUUCUUUUAUACUUGCAGUUAUCCAUUGAUAACACCAGAUAUUUUUUUAUUAAACAAAUAAUUUUAAAAUAUAAAAUUAUAUAAAAAAUUUAAAUAAAUCACAUCAUAAAGUAUAAUUUUAAAAAACUAAUAUUUUUAAAAUAAUUUUAAUUUCAUACAUUUAAUUUGUAAAUAUAAAUAUAUAAAAUGUCACCAUGGUCACAUCUACCAUGUUGGAAUGUAGAAUUGGUACACAUCUCUCUCCUUUCUUUUUAUUUCUUCUUAUUACAUUUCUCUAAUUUCCUUUUAUUUUUUUUAUGACAUUAUAUAUUUUAUAAAUUUAUUAUUAUUUUAUUUAUUUAUUUCUCUAGACAUAAAUAAACUUUUUAAGCAUCUAUAAAACAUUUUCCUAUUUGAAAUGGUAUAUUUUGCUUCCAUAUGACAACAAUAAAUCAUUUGAAAAAUAUUUCCAGCAAUGUUUUCAGAGGCUAUUAUAAAAUCAAGAAAUAAGAGUGAAAACAAUAAAUAAUUUUGACUGAUCAUAAAAAUACAUAAAUAUAUAUUUUAGAGAAUGAAAAUUCUGUCAGUAAUCAUUUUCUAUAUUAUCUUUCCUAUUUUUAAGAUAUAUUUUAGGUAGAAUUAGAUUAAGUUGGGAUAAAUCCAACAUUUAACCUAAUUAAAAAAAUUCAUAUUACAUUGAAUUUUUGCUUUUUUUUUUCUUUUCAGAUUCAUCCUACUUAUUUUAUCAUUGAAAUGGAUUAGGUUGAAUUAAUUGAUCUCAAGUUUUAAAAAUAGAAGUGUUAAAUUUGUAAUUCUCAAAUAUUUUUUUCAUAAUUUUCAAAUAUUUUUUGAAAAUAGAUUAUAUAAUUAUUAUAAGUAAAAUUUUAAAAACUAAAAAUUUAAUAUUAAAAUUUUUAUAAAAAAAAUCAAAUUAUCAACCAAUGAACCUUUUUUAUAAAAAUUUUUUAUCAAGGUCUUGAAUUAAACAUAAGUAAUCUGCCCCUUAACUCAUAAAAUAAAAAAUUAGAUCAAGUAAGGUUUGGUUUGAUUUCACUCAAUUUCAAUAAACUUUAAUUAAUUUUAUUUGAAUUGGGUUGAGUGAGAAUUAGAUUUUGUAGUGAAUAAGACUUUAAAACACGAACAAAAUUGAUUUUUGAAGUUGUAAAUGAUUAUUGUUUGUAAGGAUUUAUCUACGGUAUAUUGCGUAAGUCCCUAGGAUACAACAGGAACUUCUCAAAAAAUUUUAAGGAUCAAAAUUAGCAACAUUCUUCAACCUCCGAAAUAUCAGGCAAGGAGUAGCGGAACAUUCACUUGAAACGGUAACAUUUUCUGUUUUGGCUUUUGCAUAAUAUCUCUACGCGUUCAAUCUAUAUGCGUUUGAUUUGUUUGAUUUACAACAAUCCCCCACAUAUUGCAAAAGAUAAAACAUAGAGAUAAAUAAAUAAAAAGAAAAUUUUGGGUUCAUCUAAGAUGUAAUGCAUCAGAGCUGGUAUAACAAGUUAUAUGAACCAAUCUUAAAUUGAUGAACUUAACACAUAAUGUAGUUGGUAUAACAAGCUAUAUGAACCAAAACACUCAGUAUGUGUUAGAGGUUUAUCAAUCAUAAUACACACUCACAUUACUUGUUGUUAUCGUUGUGUUGCGCUUACUAGGUCAUGCGCGUGUCUGGUAUUCAUGAGUGCUAUAGAGAUCUCGUCAAGAUCUUAUGCAAUCGGCCUCACUUGACACUCAUAUAGGUGAUUUCAUCAGGUGUAUGCUGCAAAUCAUACACCACCCAUAAGGGAUAUGAAAAAUCAUUACAACUUUAUAAAUCGUUAAAACUCUUUUAUCUCAGAUUUUUAACCACAAGGUAUAUUUUCUCGAUAAUGCAAUAUCUAGCACUUUCACACACCAUAGGAAUGGACAAAAUUGAUUUUAAAUCAAUAUUAGUGCUAACAGAACUAACAAGUGACUUGUUUUUACCAUAUGGGAUCUCAAAUCACAAAGGUUGGGUUUCCAUCACUUGUUUGUUUGCGAGUGGCUUAAGUCUCAUUCCCCUCGAUGUUUCUAAAACUAGUUUUCUCCCUAGGGAUUUUGUUAGAGGAUCUGUCAGAUCCCGUUCUGACUUGACAUAGUCAAUAAAAAUCAUUUCACUCUUUAACAAUUGUUUCAUCAAAUUAUGUCUCAAUUGUAUAUGUCUAUUCUUUUCAUUGUAAGUUUUAGUUUUAGCUAUAGCUAUUGUCGAUUGGCAAUCAUAAUGCAUUGAUACAAAUGUGGUUGGUUUCAUUCCUAAUGGAAUGUUUGUUAAGAAGUUUUUCAACCACUCAGCUUCAUUUCCAGCCAUCUCGAGAGCAACAAACUCAGAUUCCAUUGUUGAUCUUGGAAUAAAAGUUUGUCUGACUGAUCUCCAUGUAACUGCAUCACCCCCGAAGUGUAAAUACAUAACCGCUAGUGGAUUUUGUCUCAUCUGAAUCAGAGAUCCAUUUAGCAUCAAUGUACCCUUCUAGCACAGCGGGAAAUCCACUAUAUUCAAUGACACAAUCCAUUGUACCUCUCAAGUAUUUCACGAGUCUCACAAGCGCAUCCCAAUGAUCCUGAUUAGAACAUUGAGUGUAUCUACUCAGUCUACCUACUGCAUAAGCAAUAUCUGGUCUAGAAAAGCUCAUUAAAAGCAAUAAACUCCUAAUUAUUUAGGCAUAUUGAGUUCGAGAAAUAGAUUCUCCUCUGUUCUUUAAUUUAGAGUUAACAUUAUAAAGGGUGCUCACUGACUUAAAGUCAUAGUAACCAAACUUCUUAAGAAGUUUCUUCGUAUAUUUUUCUUAGGAUAGUAAUAUACUAUCUCCCUUCUUUAUAAUUUUAACUCCUAGAAUCACACUUAUUUCACCCAUGUCUUUCAUCUCAAACUUAGAUCAAAGAAAUAAUUUUGUUUUAAAAACAAUAUCAUUGCAUAUACCAAAAAUUAGCAUGUCAUCCACAUAUAAACAUAUUCAGCAUUUCAAAUCUAGAUUGAUAGAAAAACUUUCACCCUAUAAAACAUUAUCAAGUUUUUCAUGUCAUUGUUUUGGUGUUUGUUUCAAAUCAUAAAGAGAUAAUGAGUAAUGGUACGUGCACUUCCAACGAUAACAUUUUCUGUUUUGACUUUUGUAAAAUAUUUCUACGUGUUCAAUCUAUACGAUUUGUGCGAUUAACAACAAUUUCUUAUAUCAUCCACCACACAAAAUUCAGACAACUCUCUUAUAUUUAACUAAAAGAUUUCUCAACCAGUAUAUUAGAGAAUUCAGUUUGAAUAUCAAGAUUUUCUUUAAAGAAUUUUUUCGUUACUUAAAAGCCAUAAAAAUGUCAUAUUUGUAGUUUUGUUUUAAUUUUUUCCGUGAUUUUUUUAAGAUUUAGCAGGCUGAUGCAUAUUAUGGUAAACCAAAGCAAGAUUAAAAACUGGGUGAGUUUACAGUUGUGCGACUAAAGCUAAUUCAUGUAGGUGGUCCGUACAAACGGACCAAAAACAUGUUCCUCAUAUUUACAAGAGAAAUCAACCUAAGAUUUCUGGCCCCGUUAAUGUCACCCAGUAGGAAUUUGAAUGUAUGCCGCAACAGAAAUCACACUCACACACUGAUGAUGUGCAUCAGGUUGAUGCAUGGCUCACUGCGGCUGGAGAACCCAGAAAGCAAUGUUGGUUAAGUGGAAAGACCUCUAAAAUGGAUCAAGUUCAGUACCAUCUGCUACAUCGCUCGUUUCAUUUUCGUAUAAAGAUUUAAGAGACUCCAUAACUUCGGUCAUUGCAGGACGUUGUUGCCUUACAGGCUGCCAUGCAAGAACAAAAAUGACAAACAUACAACCAUUGAAUAAUUCAAGUUUAGCUUAAAAAUUCAUUUGUUAAUACCUGUAUACAGAGAGAGAUGAUAUCAGCAUAACGAGAAAGAGCCUUGGAUGAAAAUGUUCUUUUCAUGCGGGGAUCCACCAGUUGUUCCAAACUCGCUCUAUAAGGAAGCAUGGGGGGAGCCAAUUUCACCAGAUAUUGCUCCUCCCCUAACCUGGCUCUGUGUCAAAACAAAAUGGAAAAAGGGUCCAUCAUUCAAUUAAACCACCUAUGUGCUGAGUGAGUAGGCGGAAAGAUAAAAAAAAAGAACACUGACGAGAUAUAGAAAACAAAAAUGUACCUAUCGAAAGCUUUCUUUCCAGUUAACAGUUCCAGAAGCAACACCCCGAAGGCAAAAACGUCUCUCUUUCUGCUGCUGGUUCCUGGUUGGCCAUGAUCUGGCGAAACGUAGCCCAUCUCUUCAAUAUAAAUCUCAUUAGCCUGUUUCCAAUAGUCACCAAAACGAUCAGUGAACCAAUGACUGCAAUGGGCAUACUUAGGAAGAUUGAGACUGUAAACAAAUUUCUGAUUCAUUUCCAAUAGCUGGUUUAGAAAGUUUAAGUUGUUUUUAGCUACAAUAACUUGUAAAAAUACCAUCAUUAUUCCUCAAAAAAUUACAGUAACAGUCAAACAAGAAUAAGGGCGCAUCCUCUUAUUAUCAAACAUUUGCUGUUUGUUUGGUUUUGAAACAGAAUGUAUUCUGUGACAACUUAAAACCACCCAAAAGAUAAAGCAGCUGUAAGGUGUGAGUGUGAGAAUUAGCAAAUGUAACUCAUAUAUCAAUGAGUUAUGAACUAUUGCUCAAUUUUAGGAAUUACUUCAGAAACUAGAACCUUAGCAAUGACUAACCGGAAAUUCAACUUGAUUGAUAUUCAGUGCUCUCAAAGUAACCAAGCUACAGUUACAAACAUGAGGCAUCAAAUUUUCAUCCAGUAGAACAUUGGCAGCCUUCAAAUUGCCGUGAGCCACGGGAGGGCAGAACUCUGAGUGCAAAUAGCUGGAAACAUUUGCGUCAGGUUUAAAAGUUGAGACACAUAAUGGCCAGAGACCCAAUACCAAGACGCUAAUCUCAUAAUAACGAGUAAGAAAUUUGGGUGGCAACAUUGAACUUACUGUAGAGCCUGAGCCACACCUAGAGCAAUCCGGAGACGGUGAACCCAUGACAGAGGUUUGCAUGCCUCGUUGUGAAGAGCGUCGUUUAGAGUGACAUUUCCAACAUAAUCGUAAACAAAUAAACCCUUUCCGUUAUCCAAACAGUAACCAUUGAGUGCUACGAUGUUGGGGUGCUUCAGUCGGGAAACCGUGCAAAUGACAUCCAAGAGCUUUUCCUCUUCUUUGAAAGAAAAGUUUAUCUUCUUCACGGCCAAAAUCUUCCACAAAAAAGAAAAGGUAAAAACAUGUAAUACAGUUUGAAAGCAGCAAUUUGAAACCUGAACGUGAUAAAAAUAUUAUACAGAUUAAGUUGUACUUUGUCAUCCGGAAAAUUAGCUCUAUAAACAGGACCAAGAGAUCCCUCUCCCAGAAUGUUGGCUUCACUGAAGCAAUUAGUAGCUAACUCGAGCUCUGCUACCGUGUAAAUUUUCGUUAUUCCAGUGGAUCUGCCUCUUGUAGAAAAACUUUUUUUGAAUGGUUCCUCGGUAUUGUUAUGGUUCAUGGAAAGUAAUCUCACAGGACCCAAAAAGGAUGCAGAAUUGAAGGGGGGAAUGUGUGGGCUCUCCUGGAGUGCGGUAGAAGAUACCCCUAUCGCCCAAAGGGGGGAAAAUAAGCAUGAUUAACGAUAUAAACGAAUUCAUAGAAAUACUAAAUGGAAUGGUAUACUAACCCUGAGAGGUAUUUGUUACAUACUAGAAGUGAAUUUUCAAUAAGAUCAAGAUUUUAUUGUAUUAUUUGUUCUAGGUUUUCUUGAGAUUACCUCAGUUUGCAACCAUGACAAAUGCCAUAUAAAGUGCCUCACAGUCCGUAUGUAUUUUUGUAUGAAUUACCUAUGGUUGCACUGGUCGGAUAAGAAUGAAAUGAACCAUGGUUGUUUUCUGAGCUCUUCAAGUUCGGGCUCUGUAGACGAAGUUUAUUCAAACGGAUUGCAACAAAGAGAGCCACCCCUGUGGCCAUCAGUGUUCCUCCACCAAUCAUAAAUGCUAUUCCUCCGGGACCUACAUGAUUUUUCUUGUGCUUAAUUACUCUGAGAGGAGCCUCGUGUACUUGGGGAAGAACGUCACUUACUCUGGGAGGAGUCUCAUUUACCCUGGGAUGAACCUCAUUUACUCUGGGAGGAGCCUCACUUACUGUGGGAGGGGAAUAAUUCUCUAUGGCAUUUGCCUGAGUCGUGGGUGGGCUACUAGUGUUCUGCACAACUGACACGGUAUCCAGCGGAAAAGUCCAGGGAGGAGAGUUGUCGGCCACAUGGAAUUUAUUCUCUCCAAUCCUAAUUGAAGGUAUAGAGGUGAUUACUUAAUGUUUUGCGUUGAUUGUUUCAAUUUGAUGCAAGAAACUACAGGUGAUCCACACUUGAAAUAGUUUUCACUGACCAUAAAUUCCGUAUGGAUUGAAAAUGCUGCGGAAGAAUGCCACUAAACAGAUUAUCUUGAAUGUUCCUGGAAAAAUAGGCAAAUGAGCACGUAAUAGAACCGAAAAUACACGUUGGGAAAAUGUGAAUGAUAACCCUACAAAUCUGUUAGUGGAAGUUCAGCCAAGUAGGCGACUGAUCCAGUGAAUCUGUUAUUCUGCAGGAACCUGCACAUAAAAACCAUUCUAUAGAUAAAAUAACAGACCCCAAUGAAGUAUAGUUCUGCCUUAGAGUAUAUGAUGAAACAAAAAUCAAAUUUAGAAAAAUGAAUAUGGCAAGGUUUCUUACAAUCUGGCAAGGUUUCUUAAGGAACCAAAUGAAUACGGUAGGUCUCCUGAGAAAUUAUUGUAUGAAAGGUCCCUGAAGAAAGGAAAUCAUCCUUUACGAGGAUCCAUAAAUGAAUUUGAACAAGGAAGAAUGUUAUCGUUACACCUUUUUUAUUGAGUGAAAUCCAUGAGUCCUACUCCGUACUUAAUAGGUUCCACAUCCUAUUUAGUGGUCCAAAUGAAUUUCACCUAAAAGUGUAUUGAAAAUUUUCUUGCAUUUCUAACUGAAAGCAUAAGAAUCAAAGUGUUUCAAUUUGGUUGUCUCACUUUCUCACAACUCAAUCAGGUUAAUUUUCAUUAUAUAAUAUUACCAUUCAUAGUGCUUGACUUCAGUUAACCUAAGAAAAUAUUGUGUGUUAUGAGCUGCCGCCUUUCUCUGCCGCUUCUGAACUAUCAUUUGUCUUCAUUCAACAAAACAAAGCAGUAAAGAGAAUUCGCAAUCUAUAUUUUGGUUUUAUUUAUUUACUUUUGGUUUGAAUGAUUUACUUUUACUUAUUUUAUUUAUAGUUUUACGCAUAGAAAUUGAUGCGUCACGAAUAUUAAAAAAUUGGGAAAGUUUAUAUCGUACUUAAGGUUCUUUCUCAUGAAUCUUGAAGGCUUUUGUGGUUGAAUUGCUUAUUCAUUUUAUACAUAUUCAAAGGCAGGUCAAAAGACCAGGAGAAAAAGACAUACAUUUCUUUGAGAUUAUCUAAAUCAGUAAAUACAUCACCAAUUGGUCCAUGUAGUAAAUUGUGGCUUAAAUUCCUGCAUGACAAGAUACCCAUAACAAUGAUGUCAGUCAUUACUAAAGCUCGAUCACUUUACUAUGCUUAAGAGAAGAGAAAAUGUGAAGAAUAAACUUUAAUUAAUGUUCUGGUUAAGCAUAUUUCCUUGUAUUACCAUCUCUAUCAAGCUUGGUUUAAAAUCAUCAAUAAUGUAGCAAGUAAACUACUAUACUUGUUCAGUUUAGUUCUAAAUUUAAAUUUUUUGUAUGAUUCAGUGGGUAAAUCGUUCAAGCCCGUUUCGUGUCUCUCCUUUUAUUAUUUCUGAUGACCAGUAACUUGAAAAAAAGGUUUACAUAAUUUAAAGACUGAAUCAAACACAUAAUUUUCCUCAGAACUAAAUUGCAAACGUGGUAACUUUCCAACGAACGAAAUUCCAUUUUACCAAUGUAGCUCAGAUGUCAUAGAUUUUUACAACUGGGAUAUUUGGUUCAAAUAGUUGCAAUAGUUUAAGCUUUAUUUUAUUUCUACAAUACUGGAUCAUAACUUCAUAAGAACAACUCUGCUACAUAUAUACUGGCAUGCUUAUCACUAGCAUGGAAUUUAAUUUUGCAGAAACAAGGUGAAGAAGAGAUGCUGACUUACAUAUAGGAGACAUUGGGGGGCAAACCGAAUGGUAUCUCGCCCUUUAUGUUAUUUGAACUGACAUCACUAAAGAAAAAAAACCUGGAAAUAAAUAAAUAGCAGAUUUGACAAUAAAUUAUCCUGAUAAGAGCCUAAUACGAUACAAACACUCACAGUUGCUUCAAGUUAGGUAGAUUAUAUAGCAGGCUUCCAAUAUACCCAGUGAGGUUUAAUCCUUGAAGUUUUCUGCAUGUGGACAGAGAGAAUUACUAACACUUAUUAGUGACAUUAACUAUGACAAAAAUAGGAAAUUUAAUCAGUGGAAUUUCUGCACUACAGCUGUAUAACUGAUGGCCCAGAACAAGCAACUCCUGUCCAAGACUCUUCACAAGGAUCGCUACCAUUCCAUCCUUUGAGCAUCGGUGGGUAGUUAAAGGUCCUGUAUAGAUCCUGGAGAGCUGACACUGUUUAUACCAAAAAAAAAGUAGGACAACUAUAUAGGUUAGAGACCGAGAAGAAAGAUAGUCCGCUGUAAAAAAUUAUGUCAACAUAUAAUAACAAUAAUAAAACCUGAAUAUGUAAGCUUAAAAGAUGAAACUAGAUUUUAGAAUUCAUUGAGGAUGGCAGAAUUACAAAUCUAGAAUAUCAAACUGGAUUCAGUCACAAUCAAAACAAGUCUAUAACAUAGUCUAAAAUUUUUGGUGGCAACCAAACGAUUAAUAUGAUGUUAACAGAUCAAUUUUUCAAAUGUGUUUCCAGAAAAAAAAAAUCUAGGACAAAAAAGGAGUGAACAAACAGUUAUUUAUCUGAGUUACCUUCGUGUUGAUGCGUGAACGCCAAGCUCAGAGAAAUCAAAAUUGAAAAUACAAAGAGAUUAAGAUGCACAUAGAGAAAGUGGCGAAUCAUUUUCCUGAGUAUCGGAAAACACACAAACACAGAAAUAUCAACAAUGUAUUUUCUUUGUGUUUUCUCUUUCUUUCUAAGCAAAGAAAAGAAAAGGAGAAAAGAAUCAAGAUUGCAUCUAACUAUAGUGACAGUGAAAAUGGUGUCUUCAACUGUUUCUAUGCGCAGCGUUAGUUUCUGUUGUGAUGGGGUCCACGUAACUGAGUCCGUUAUAUUGGUUUUGGCGCGAAAUGAGUUAUUGGGCCUGCUUAUUUACAAAGACCACUGGGUUUUGUCUGGGACCCAUGUCUAAAUGAUUGAGCUGCUGUUACUGAAAUAUUAAUGAAAAAAAUGGAAUAAAGUUUAUAAUAAAAUCAUUUAUAAGCGUCAACACAUCAUGUACCGCAACACCCACCAAAGCAUCACAACACCCAACAACCAACAUCACCACGUGCUCCCUCCACCCGGUCCAACCUAAACUAUAUAGGGGAAUAUGAAAUUCGGAAAACACAAAAAUAGCCAUAAGAUGUCUUCACUCAUCAUUAUCACAUUUACUAAAUUUCCAUAAUUUUGGCUUUUCAUGUAGAUUGUUGCAGGGAAUUCCAAAGUCAUCACGGUUGUGUAACUAUGAAGGUGAUGCCAAUGAAUAAUCACCAUGACUUCGGAUUUAAUUUCACAGAGAUUAGGUUGAAUUCGAAUUUUCAAUUUUAUUUUUGGUGCAGGGAGCAUUAUUGUGUUUUAGUUUAUGCCUCUUCUAGCCGAUUUGCAGCAGAAGAGGAAAAUAAAUUAAGAACCUUAGCAAGAAAACCACCAUACCUUUUUUCAUUUAAGACUUAAUUUAAAAACAAAUUUGACAUAGAACGUGGUUUACAAUUUGAAUUCAACGGAAAAUCAAACACAGAAACUUAGUUUUACUCUUUGGGCUGGGACCUCCCAAGCCAACUGAAAAACACAUACAUGCCUUGUUAUCCAAGUCAUUCUCAGGUGAGCAAUGUGUGCAACACUGUUCAAAAUAGUCAAAAGAUAAUAUCAAAUAGCUUUGAGUAGUGGUAGCAAAUAACAAAGACACUGUCCUCCCAAUCAAAUAAUUCCAGAGGAGACAGCAAUGGCAGAGGACACCAUACCUAUGCCAAAACAGUAACAAACACUCUCAGGUGAUUCAUCUGGAGCCUGAAAGUUGCACAAAUGCAGCAAGGCCACCCAUACCUUGAUUAUCAUUUAAAACAAACCAAAAUAAGCAAGAGAUAUCAGUCUGGCAAGCAAUCAUGUAGUAGGCACAGGUUGUGCUAUAUGUUAUUACAACCACAACAAAAAAGUGCAUUAAAGUGACCAAUGAGCAGAUUCAUAUGUCCUGGACUGUUCUAGAUCCAUGUAAUGCCUCCUGCUCUGUUGAGACAGAUCCAGCUCACCAUGAAGCUGGCCAUUCAGUGGCUGUGAAAUAUGACCCAGACCUAGAUUAGGGACCACCUCAGGCGAACAGUCACCAGAAUCAAUGCCCUUGAAACACCACGAGGUAUUUGGAAGUUCAUGGAGUGAUGCACCAUGGGAUGAAGCAGUAAGUUGUGUCAUGGGUGUCCCAUUGAAAUUUAUCAUGUUAUUCAACCCAAGACUUGGUACUGUGUUUCUAGAACCCCAUGCUUGACUUGACAGAAGAGAGAGAGCACAGCUCGAGUCAGAGACGCCUGGGUAACUUUCCCCUGGAGGAUGACCGGCAAAGCUUGUCCCACCCACCGAACCUUGCAAGAAAAUGUCAGAUGGUGUCUCUGAAUUGCCGUGCCAGCUAAGUGUGGAGGUUUGACUUCCAGGAGCUAGCUCGGAUGAUCUAGAAGUUGGAAGUGAAUUUCUCAGACUAAGCUUUGGAUACGAAGCCAAUUCCAUCAGAAAGUUGCCACCUCUGCCACUAUUAUCUGUCAAAAAAAGUGCCAGACAUUAGAAUGUGUUUCAUAUGUAAUGCCAAGAAUGGCACAGGCUGAAACUACAUAUGCUUCCCUAUAGAAAAUUUGAGAGGCAUGAAACUGAUGUUUUACUGAUAGUUUCUAACCAAAAGCAGAUGAAGAAAGUCUAGCAUAGCGAGAGGUUAAGAGGGAGCUGGGUGGGGGCUUUCUCCGACGUUCAUUAUGGCCCGCUAGUCGCCUGCGGCAACUUCUUUUGCCUUGAUCAAACUCAGGAAGCUGGUGAAAUCUGGGCAAGGCUAUGAAACAUGAUAUUAGUUCUUAAAGUCAUAAAUUACUCCAAUUUAAGUCAAAGAUAGAUGAAUGAGUCCAAGCAUGCUAACAUGGCAAGACUACUGUUUCCUAGCAUGGCAUGCUAUGGUGUUGUUGCCACAAAUUGAAGUACCCCUUUGCAAAUAUUAGAGAACACAAGUAGUUUAAUAUGUAUAAACAAUAGAAGAAGGGCGUUUUUCCAUAAGAUAAGAUGUAGUAAUAACGUUCACAUCUUGAAAUGAUGCACGUCACUAAGCAUGCCUUGCACUGAAUGAGAGAGCAUAUUAGCAGAGUAUAAGAUGUUCCUUGACACCUGCUUUACAGAAACAAUCCUCGAAACAUUGCUCAAGUAACAUCAUGUGGUUCCAUGAUACAUAGAAUUCAGCUUUAACAUAUUGGUAUAUAAGACCAAGACAAUACCAACGCUCUUUCCCUUCUUUAUUACCAAAAAGGGUAGAUCUUUACUCUUAGUGAAAGACGCCCGAACAAUUCAAAAGAGAAGUUAACAAGCUUUAAUACAGCAGAUAAACCACAAUAUAGAUCCUCCAAUAGUACCAUUUGAAAUGCUUGAGUGAGUUUGGAUGCUAGAAAAAUCCAUCUUCAAAAAUAUCUUUGCAUUAUCUUUACUCUUUAGUGAAAGACGCCCGAACAAUUCAAAAGAGAAGUUAACAAGCUUAAAUACAGGAGAUAAACCACAAUAUAGAUCCUCCAAUAGUACCAUUUGAAAUGCUUGAGUGAGUUUAGAUACUAGAAAAAUCCAUUUUCAAAAAUAUCUUUGCAUUAUCAUUGAUAGUAAUAUGUAUUUUAUCUUCACAUAUUUAGGAGACUAAUUUUCUGAUUAUUCUCACUAUGGAAAAUAGCUUGCUCCUAAACUACAAAAUCUACAGAUCAAAAGUAUAACUUCUGACUUAGAAAACCCAUUUGAAACCCAGAAAAACCGUGAGACAAAAAUUACACUCGGAGCAGGUACCAGAAAGCUAUCCCUGCUCCAAAAGAAAUACUGCAAAUAAAAACCACAUUCAUCAUUGACUAAUAUGAUGCAGACGGAAACCUUCCAUAAAAGAUGGUCAUCUGUCUCCAAAAUACAAGAUUAGUAAAGAAUUGAAUACUAUCCUAGAAUGCACAUAGCACAGAAGAGUCAAAUCGAAAUGGAUAUCAGAUGUGACAAAAAAAGUCCGCAUAGCAUCAUAAAACAGGAUAGAAAGAAAAAUAGGCACAUCAGCAAGGCGUGUGGUUCGGAUUGCAUGAUCCAGCAACACCAAUUGCACUCAUUCUCAAUCAAGUAAUAAUAAGUCAAACUACAGAGAAUGAAAAGUAACAUGAGUCUCGGAGGCAAUACAUGAACAAUUACGACAACCUAUCAAGCUUACUUAAGUCAUAUAUCUCAUUAUGUACAUCCAGGACCCACUUUAUGGAUGGCCAGACAAUGGAAGGUUGUGGCCACUCUCAUAUUCUAAUUAGCAGAAAACUAUCAUUAUGAUAAUAAUGCAAGCCUUAACCAACAACCCAAGGCUCACUAAGAUCAAAAGGGACUGCUCUUGUAGCACAAAUAACACAUGAUAAAACACUUGAUUCAUAACACUAAACUGAAAUACCUGGAUUAAUCUUUUCACAGAUACGGACCUAUAAAGUUUGCUCAUGUUUGGUAAUAUAUUAUAUUUGAGAAACAAUAGAUUUUUUUAACGGCUCUCUCAGUGAUCUAUAAAUAGAAAUAACAAGUAUUAUGUCUCCAAAACAUGAAAGGCAAUCACUAAACAGUAAUUAGAAAAUUACAACAGCACACGAAUACAGAAUAGAGGACCCAUACCCCAAACCCACAAGGCCAGAGGUAAAACAGCAGUGUAGUGUAGUGUUUUGCGAUUUUCAGACUACAAGUUGCACACCCAUUUCAAACCUUUUCCGUACAAACCGAGUUAUUAUUUUUAAUACCAAACACACCUGGGGGUGCAAGAAUCAAUUCGCUGAAAAGGAAAACAAUAUUUCACACGCGUUAUCAGACAGCCGUUCAGAUAAGCACUUUAAAGCUGAGCUAGAGGAAAAAGCAAAGUACACCGAGCAUAAUCAACCAAAUCAUCACUGAACAAAACAUCGCCAGAACAGACACAAAGAAUCACACCAAAACUUGAACAAAAGCAUAACCACGAUCAAUGAACUAAACCAACAACUCCAAAUAAAUAACAAACCUAUAACUGCAACGACAAAACACGAUAACAUAUCUCACCUACAAACCUACACCGCAGACACACCAAACCGUAGAAUAACGGACAAUUUUUUUAAUAAAAUAAACCAGACCCUACCCUACUUUAUCUUACCUCACCUAUUAUAGUAACAUAUUAAAACCGCACAAGAAAAAGAAAAGGAAAGAAUUUUUGGUUUCUGGUAAUAACAACAAUGAAAGAAGGGUUGACCUGCUACACUGUUGACAAAACCUUUGUUGAAGGCCAGCAACAAUGACUGUAGGGGAUUUAGAGUGCAUGCCACAGACUUUGUGCCUAGAAUAGUAAGCUUUAGCAUCACUCAGAUCUACCAUACACCCUUCAACUUGACACCUUGGAGGCUGAGCUGGUUGAACAGACCCACCUCUUCCUUUCCUUGAAGAAGAGGAAGAGGAAGAAGUAACUCCAGCAGCAGCAGAAGUAAGAGAAGAGGCUGGAGUAGCCAGACCCACAUCCUCAAAAUAGAUUUUUUGGCCGAAUUUCAAACCGUUGAGGGACUCAGAAGAGGAGAGUUUGGUGGCAGCAGCGUCUGAACCCAUUGGGGGGAGGAGAGGUGUGGUGGGAGGCUAAAGUGUAGUGUUAUUGAUGUUAUUAUUCAUUGUGGUCUGUAUGACAAGAAUAAGAGAGAAGAGAGAAGAGAGAAGAGAGAGAGAGAGAGAGAGAGAGAGAGGAGGANNNNNNNNNNNNNNNNNNNNNNNNNNNNNNNNNNNNNNNNNNNNNNNNNNNNNNNNNNNNNNNNNNNNNNNNNNNNNNNNNNNNNNNNNNNNNNNNNNNNGAGAGAGGGAGAGAGAGGGGGGGGUUGGUUGUGAAGCUGUGAAUGUGAAAGUGUUGUGUUUGAUUCAAAGGAGUGGUAGUGGGAGAGUAAAGUGGAAGACAAAAGAGGAGGUGGAAGGGUAGGGAAAAGGAGAGAGUUGACGCUGGGCCAUAGUGGCAGUGGGCAGUGGCAGCGUGUGGUACACUGAGAAGAGAGAAGGAGUGAGUGAGUGUAGUCAGAGAACCAAACACACCCUUGUCUGUCCAAAACCAAAAAUAAUGGAGGUAAAGCGCCAGCUACGAGAGACAGAUUGUACCCUCUUUUGUUUUUCUCCUUUUUCUUCCCUUCCCAUCUCAACUCAACAAUUCAAUUUCCUUCACUGCCUCCUCAUCCAAAUCCAACGUUUCACGUUUUAACCAUUCCCGGCCCUAACAAGUGUAACUGUCGUUUUGUGCAACUUUUUCUGUCCCUGUCACAUACUUGCUAUGCUAGCUGGUUCUACAUACGAAAGGGAUGUAUGCAUCCACCCAAAUUUUACGAUAAAACAAACCCAUCUUUCUACCCAUCUCUUCCUAAAAUUCAAACACACAUACCUUUCCAUCUACAUCCACAUAUUCAUUUCAGAAUCAACAUAUACAUAUUACUUUCAGAAUCAAAACUGCUACUAACAAUCAUAAUAAUAAUAAUAAUUAACCCUGCAAUUCUUACCUUCUUCCCAGUUACACUACUCUGCGUUUUCCUCGUGCUUCCCUUUCGCACCUAAUUUUUCUACCACAACAAACUUUUCAUACUCUACAAUACAAAUCAGCGUUAAUAGGUUCUUCAAUUAACUCCUACAAAUAUCAAACACUUAUUUUCCCAAACACUACCAUAUUCCCAUACUUUUUUUUUUUCAAAAAUAAUAUAAAUAUCAAAAUGAUAAAUAAGAGAAGACAUAUUAAGAAAUGAUCGAUUUUAAUUACUUUUCUUCAUUUUAAACUACAAAAAAAUAUUUACUUUCGUCCACAUCUCACAUUCAGCGCUCGCGUGGUUCAGUAAAUGUAGAAUUAUUUAGGAUCUAUUUUAAAUAAAUUUCUUCAUUGACAAUUUUAGAAUGUAAUAAACAAGAAAAAACAAAUAACUUCUUAAAUUUAAAAUGAUGGGUUAAAUAAUAAUUUAGAAAAAAAAUAGUACAUGCUUAAAUAAUUUUAUUUUGUGAAAAAAAAACGCAUUUAAUUUCAUUUCUUUCUAUUUAUGAAAUUUUUUAUGAGGGUUGGAAGUUUGUUUAUUUGUUUUGUCUGCUUCUCCAAUCACUUUCCAAAGUGGUCAUUGACUUAGAUAUUUGCAAGUCCACGCGUGUCUUUAUUUGUGUAGAGCAUUUCACAAUGUUCCUAAAUUCAUGACCACUUUUAGUUUAAAUCAACAUAUUUCUCAUUAUAUAUAUAUAUAUAUAUAUAUAUAUAAGUGGGUCUCUAUGAUAAGUGUGUAGAUGCGGGUAUAUAAAUAAAGUUAUGUUAUUAAUGAAUAUUUUAAAUUUGAUUUGUGUACUUAGAAACUUUUUAUUUAUUAGAUUUGGGUUUAUAAUAUGUGAAAUAUACUUAUUUUAACAUAUUGAAUUGGAUUACAUCAUCCAACCACUACCACUGUUUCAAUUCUUAUGAAUAUCCUACUAUUUAGUUUUAGUUCUUAAAAGUGUUGUUUGGUUUAUAUGUCUUUCAAAAGUGAACUAUUUGUCUCUUAAGUGACUCUGUUAACACAGUAAGUUAGAAGUUAUAAUCUAUGCAAUUAUUCACACAUGUACCCUCAUCACCAUCACGUCAACGUGUCCUAGUCAAGAAGAAAAUAAAUGAGAAGGAAAAUUAUAUUCAAAAUAUUCGAUUAAAUAUGUACAUAAAAAUAUUCCAUAUCUUUUUAUUUUCUCUUUAUUCGUUACAAACUAAAUUCAAUAAAAAAAUUAUAAAAUAAAUUAAAUACAAUGCUGUACGUGCUUUCUCUUUUUUUUUCUCGUUAAAAUUUUUAUUAAAUUUUUUUUUCUCUUCUUUUAUGUAAAGGAAUUGAUAAGGAUGGCGAAAAAGGGAACAAAAGAUGAGAUGAGGAUAGUACGGCAGUGAAGUGAUUCCGUACAGUUUCUGAUUGAGAUUAUGAACAUAGUUUAAAAUAUAACUAAUUGUUAAAUAAUCAAUCCAAACAAAUGAUAAAAUAUAAUUAUAAUGAAUAAUUAUUAUUAAACUUUAACAACUUUAAGAAAUUGUAUUAUUUUUAAUACAUAUAUUUUUAUUAUAUUUCUGCUAAUACUAUAUCACGCAUAAAAAAUACUUCAUAUAUUAUAAAAUUAAAUACAUAAUAUAGAGUAUAAAUAAAAAGGUUUUUUAACAUUCUACUUAAAUCAAUCUAAAGGAAUUUAGUUUAAUUAGUUGGUUAACGAAAGGGUGUGAGUUAUUAUUAAAAAAAAGUAUAUGUUCAAUUCUUAUCAAUUAAACAAAAAAAAUCAAUUAACGUAAAACUAUUCCAAGUUAACUUAAAUAUAAAUAUGUCAUUUUAUUAAAUACUUAUCAUAAUAACUUUAUUCUUUUGAUAACUCUACCUAAUAACAAGGCCAAUAGAAAAUACAAAUAAAAAAAAUUAUCUUUCAACUAUUUCAAAUUACAACUUUUUUUUUGUUUUCGUAUGAACAUUUGAUUUUUUUUUUCUUUUAUCUCUUUUAAUUUGCCUACUUUUUGUCUCUGUCUCUAAAUUAAAUUUCAAUUUUAAGAAAAUAUUAAUACUUAAGAUAAAUUAUAUAAAAGUUAAAUGAAAUUCUGUAUUUAACUAUUUAUUUAUUAUGAUGCAUAAUUAUUUAUUAUAAUUCUUUUAUGGUCCAUAAACCAUAUGUUCUUUGCACCUACUUCAUAAAGCGUGAUGCAAGAACCUUCAUGUAGUUAGGAUAGUUUAGUGCACCUAUUCGGCAAAGUUUAGUGCAAUAAAUCUCUUUUAUUUCUCAUGACUUGAUAUAUUAAUACACUUUAUUUAAACUAUUAAUGAAGACAACAUAUAUCAUGUUAGUAAUGUACUUCAAUAUUCAACACUACAACCACCACAAUAUUGGAUUACAAUCUUAGGUAAUAAUCUAUUUCUCAAUCAAUAUCUAUAUAUCACAUCCCUUCUUUUAAUCACCACUCAAAUCAAUACAAUUAUAUUUUCAAAUCAAAACACAAAAUAAAAUCUCUUACGAAAUAAUUCACUUUUAUAUUCACACUUUAAAUCAAUCUAUCAUUUUAAUUCAUUUCAAUAAUAUUUUAUAUUAAAAUAUAGGCACUUAUGAGGUUUUAUUGUCAAUUUACAUAUAAAAUAAUUCCUAAUUUAUGAACUAAUACAUUUUUACAUUUUUAUGAUCUUUAUUUGAAUAAGAGCAUUUUAUUCCUAAAUUUGGUGUUAAUUGCAGGUUUCUAGGGAAGAUUGGAGAUUUGGAUUAAAGAGAAAUUAUUUAAGCUAAAGAAGAGAAAGCUGGACAAUCUCAGAAUGCAUAAAAGCACUGAAAAAGCCAAUUUUGCAGCGAGGAUUCUCACUUGAGCGAGAAUGUUUCCGUACAGUUUUAAAAAAUUGACGUCUUUCUCGCUCAAGCAAAAAUGCGUUAGACAAAUUGGACUUCUUUUUAUGUUUUAUCACUUAGCCCAUCAGCACAACACAAGAAGCCACCUAAACCUAGUAAAUUAGGUUAAAUAGGGGGCUAGAGGCUCAACCUUAGGGUAUCAUAUUGAAAUAAAAACAUCAUAGAGUGAAUUGUAACCCAAUUGGGAGAAUGAAAGGUGCUAGAAGUAUGCAUGGCUAAUUCUACCCUUUGGGAAUUAGAGUAAUCUGUUCCAACUCUUAUGUAUUGAGGUGAUAUUUACAUAUGGUAAUAUUCAGUUUUUGAUUGAUUAUUGAUAUUGUUGUUUUGCUUCUAAAUAGUUGUGACAUGUUUGAGAAUCUUAAAUCUGACUGAAAGGUAUUUUUAUGAUUCUGACUUAAAUAACAAUACUUAACAUAUUUGAGUGCUAGAAAUAUACUUGAAAUGUUAAUUGUCAUUAACGUCUGAGUGUGAUUCUAAGUAGUUUUUAUAAAUAUGCGAGAAAUUGAUAUUUAGAAAACAUUUUUAAGAAUUUUAUAUGCGAAAAAUCAAUAUAAAUGAAUUUUCUACUGCCGGUAAUUUCAAUCAAACAACUUAAUAUUGACAUGCUAAUCAAAAUACACGAGGGUGAGAGAGAUGAAACCUAAUCCUUAUUUUUCCAAACUUGAAACAACUAAUUAUGUGUCUGUUUUCUUAUUGAUCAUUGUCAACAUAAUUACUUCAACACUUUUUAUAUUAUUAUGUUCUAUAAGCGACUAUUGUACUUAAUAAUUCAACUAUUUCUUGUGGGAUUCAUAUUCGUCAUUAGGGACAAAUUAUUACUUUUGACAACAUGGUGCACUUACCGUAAAAAGUCAUCAUUUUCAUAAUCUACAUUUUUAAGGAAUAGUUCGUUAAAUCAUACAAAACAUAAUUUCAAAUACAAGAAAAUGUCACUUGAGUGACCAAUACAGCAUUUGAGUCUCAUUCCUUUAGGGGGAGUGAAAUUGUUAGAGUCCCUCUCUUUCUUAAGUGUAUCACUAAUGAUUGAGUGUUCAUUUUAGUGUUUGAGGAACUAAACUCUCUAAAGAGAAAAAAGAAAUCUUAAUUCCUUAAGCGAUAACCAUAUUCCUUGAGCAAUCCACUAAAUGUUGUUAUGGUGCUCUCUCAUAACAUUAUAUGUCACACUACUGAGUCUCUCUCAUGUGACCAACUUAUCCCUUAAAGGAAAAACUUCAUAAUCACAAAGAAAAUUUGAUAUAAAGAUAAUUAAAAAUUAAUUAUUACUUAAAGCAAUAUGAUACAUUAAAAAUUAAAAACAAACUUUAUAUAACUAUCCUAGUCAUAAAAAUAUUACUUAAUUAAAUCACAAAUAUAAAGAUAAUUCAAUUAUCAUGAUUUAAAAUAUUUCUAUUAUUUAGUUAAUACUUUUAUUUUCAGUAUUAAACUAUAUAGUUGAUAAUAUAGAUUAAUAAAUAAUAUUAAAAUAUAUAGAGGUAUAAAAAAACAAAAUAUUUUUAUAAAGAGUAUAUAUAUAUAUAUCACUGACCAUGACUUUAUUUGGAGUGGAACCAUUUUUAAAUGUUUGAAGUGCUUUAAAAUUAUACUUUUUAUUAGUUAAAUAACAAUUAAAUUUAGAGAUAAAAAUAAUUAAUUAUUAUAUUAACUAAAUUAGAUACUAAUUUACAAACUAAAAAAUUAUUGGUAUUUAAAGUGGUUUCUAUUAUUAAUAAAAAUUUAUAAAAAAAAAAUAAUUAAAUUAAUAUCUAAAUUUUAGUUACUAAUAUUUUAAAUUCUAAAUUGUUCUCUAAAAGACUAAUAUAAAAUAUAAAAGUAGUAAGUAACUAAGGAUUAGAUACAGUAUUACCGGGUUGCCGAGAAGGCCGAAUGAUCUUCUUAAUCCAAACACAACCCAUAAAAUCACAAUUAAUGAUAGUUAAGUCAAGUCAACAAUAAAUCAUGAUUAAGGCAUGAUUAAAGAGGUUUUUGAACUCUGUUGCUUAAGUAUGUAUCCAAGGCCAAUGUCAAAUACAUUUUGAAGGAGCUACACCAUGGCGCAUGUGGCAACGAGAACAAUGGCAACGAGAGUGCUUAAAGCAGGCUAUUAUUGGCCCAUCCUGAGAGCCGAUUGCACCAACUUUUUAAAGAAAUGCUAAAAUUGCUGAGAGCCGAUUGCACCAACUUACGACUUGCAAAACAUCAAUUCUCUGUGACCUUUCGCCUUGUGGGAGAUGGAUAUAGUUGGCCCUUUUCCAACAGCAACCGGGCAAAGAAAAUUCUUGUUGAUAGCGGUGGAUUAUUUCACUAAGUGGAUUAAGGCAGAACCUCUCUCUAAAAUCACUGCUCGACAAGUUCAAAGCUUCGUUUGGAAAGAUAUAAUUUGUAGAUUUGGUAUCUUACAUACUAUCAUCACCGAUAAUGGAAGACAUUUCAUGGACUAAAAGCUCGUCAAGCUCUAUGUUAGCCUCGACAUUCAGCUGAAGAAGAGCUUUGAUGACUCCAAAUCUCCAUGGAUUGCUUGAAGGUUGUUUUAAGCUUAGUUGGGUGUGUUCGGGGUAGUUUGAAUUUGUUAAUUCACUCUUAGUUUGAAUCCAAAGUUGGUUUAAUUCAAAACUUUUUUAAAAGAGUGUUUUAUAAAGAAGCAGAAAAACAACCAGUUGUUUAUUCGUUUCAAUCGGUUGUUUCAUACUUAAGGUUUUUGAAACUGGUUUUGGCAUAUUUGAAUUUGGUUGACUUUGUUGUCAAACCAAUUCAAUCGGUUAUUUCGACAAAACAACUCACUGUUUUUUUAACUGUAUUAACAGAAUUCUGUUAAGUUUGUUAAAUCUGCUUUAGAUAAUUUGAAACUGAUUUGGCUUUUAUAAUAAAUGUUUUCAAUUGCUAAUUGGAGUAUAAAUGUUCUGUUAUACGCUCCUAACAUUAAGGUUACAAGAUCAGUUUUUGAAAUCAAGUUUUCUCUAAGAGUGAAGUAGGACUUGUUGUGUACUUUGAUUUGUACUAGGUGUGAUCAAUCCUAUUUCUUCUUGAUUUGUAAUUCUGUAAGUACUGGUGUUCACAGAGUCAGAGGAUGUUCUGAUUUGUGGUGUGUUUGUGGUGUGACAAAGGAAGUGUGUGUUCUUGAGGGGAUUAAGAUCAUUUCUUUGGUGGGGUUGUGUUUGUAAUCUGGUUUUUGAUUGCAUAGUGGAUACCUAGUGGUUUCUGGGAACUGGAUGUAGCUCUUGGGAUAAGAGUGAAGCAAUAUAAAUCUGUUUGUGUGCUUAUCUCUUUCCCUUAACUCUUUAAUAUCUAUUUUAAGUUGUUUUUACUCACUGCUGAUAAAAACAACCGGUUGAUUUUCUGGAAAUUAACUUAAUCAGUUUUGUUCUUUGGCUUCCUUGAUUUCUUUCUCUGUGAUUCAUCAUUGGAUUUCAUUAUACCUUCAAAGUUUGCAAAAAAUUGUUUAUAAAAUAUUCACCCCCCUCUUGUUUAAGGCCAUAAAUUCUAACAAUUCAGCAUAAAACGAGUUUAGUGGAAUACUUGCAGACUAAUGGGCACGCCGAAUCCGCAAACAAGGUCAUACUGACCAAGUUGAAGAAAAGGUUAGGCAGCGCAAAGGGAAGGUGGACAGAAGAGAUUGUCGAAGUCCUCUGGGCCUAUAGGUGCAUCCCGCAUUCAGCCACAGGGGAAACUCCCUAUAACCUCACCUACGACACAGACGCUAUGUUACCAAUUAAGGUCGGAGAGCCGACAAUCCGAUGAGAACUUGACAACCUCAAGAUGAACGACGAGUGCCUGAAAAUCGAGUUGGAUUUACUUCAGGAGUUGCGUGAUAUGGCAAAAAUAUGAGAAGAAGCAUGUAAGCAAAAGGCGUCCAGGAGAUAUAACUCGAAGACCAAGCCACGAGCAUUCCAAGAAUGUGAUCUCGUAUGGAGGAUGAGAGGAGAAGCUUGCAAGGCUUCAAUAAAGGGUAAGUUCAGUUCGAAUUGGAAUGGACCAUUUAAGAUCACGAAAAGCAUACAAAAUGGACCCUACUACUUAGACAGCUGGAUGACCGAGAAGUUCUAAGGACCCGGAAUGCGAGCCACUUGAAAUUGUACUUUAGUUUAUAUGUAUUGCAGAUGUACUCUUUCCUACUAUUGGUCUUUUUCUCCAAAAAUGGUUUUGGAUGAAGUAGGUUUUAAUGAGGCAUCAGAGGAAUGAAAGCAGACUUGUCAGCUAUAUAAUUGAAUUACUACCGGCAACACGUCAAAGUAACCUCUCGGCUAAGGAAGAAUUCACUUAAGUGAAUCCCUGCCGAGAGCGCAUUAAAGAAACCUCUCGGCCAAGGAAGAAUUCACCAAAGUGAAUCCCUGCCAAGAGUGCGUUAAAGAAGCCUCUCAACCAAGGAAGAAUUCACCUAAGUGAAUCCCUGCCGAUAGCGCAUUAAAGAAACCUCUCAACCAAGGAAGAAUUCACCUAAGUGGAUCCCUGUCGAAAGUGCAUCAAAGAAACCUCUCGGCCAAGGAAGAAUUCACCUAAGUGGAUCCCUGUCGAAAGCGCGUCAAAAGAAACCUCUCGACCAAGGAAGAAUUCACCUAAGUGGAUCCCUGUCGAAAGCGCGUUAAAGAAACCUCUCAGGCAAGGAAGAAUUCACCUAAGUGAAUCCCUAUCAAGAGCGCGUUAAAGAAACCUCUCGGCCAAUGAAGAAUUCACCUAAGUGAAUCCCUUCCAAGAGCGUGUUAAAGAAACCUCUCGGGCAAGAAAGAAUUCACCUAAGUGGAUAUCUUCCGAGAGCGCUUUAAAGAAACCUCUCGGGCAAGGAAGAAUUCACCUAAGUGAAUUCCUGCCGAGAGCGCGUUAAAGAAACCUCUCGACCAAGGAAGAAUUCACUUAAGUGGAUCCCUGCCGAGAGCGCGUUAAAGAAACCUCUCAGCCAAGGAAGAAUUCACCUAAGUGGAUCCCUGGCGAGAGUGUGUUAAAGAAACCUCUCGGCCAAGGAAGAAUUCACCUGGUCGAGAGUCGAGUAAGAGAAGAAAGCAAAAGCAAGAUAAGCGAAAAGGAAUAAAUGCAAGUUAAAUUCAUUAAAGCCUAACAAACCACCAAUUUACACAAAACGAGGCACACGUUUACAAAAGACUAAAUACGUGUGCCCAUUCAAAAAGGAGAAAAAACUCCUAAGGGUCCAUGUUUAUCCUCUCGGCGUUGGGAGUCCCUGGCGGAGCCAACACAACUUCUUGACCACUUGGAAUUUCUUCAAUGGGCACAAGUUGACCCAGAUAGAAGUUCUUGUCGACAUCGAACUUUCCCUCGUCCAAGGGAAUGUUGUAGAAGAAAGCCGCUUAUUGAAGAGCUUUCCAGAAGUCGAGUUUGUGCCGAUCCAAAAUGUUAUUCUUUGCGACCUCCAAGUUCUUCAGCAACUUCUCCACUUUCUCUUCAGACUGGUAGUUUGAGAGGGUCAUGUUCGAAAGACUCUCCUUAAGCCCUCAGAUCUCCUUAUCAAUCUUCAUAGAAAGCUCCUUACUCACCUCUCGGCCUCAGCGCAUAAGUUCUUCCAGUGAUUAAUCUUGGCUUCUAGGUUUUGAUUCCUAGCCAAGAGAUCAUUAUUUUCAUUUAAGGUCGACUGGAGGUUGGCAGCCGACUGUUACAAUUGUGCAUGUAAGCUAUCCAACUCAGUCAUUUUUUUUAUCUCGCUUCAUCAACUCGGAUGUUAUACACUUGCCAAGUACCAAGGUGCGUGAGCACAACUCUAUGAACACAUCAUGGACUUGGGAAGAUCGAGCCGACAGGUAGGCAUCUUGCUCGUAGAGGUUAAGUGUAAUUGUCACCCCCUCGUCCACUUGUAGAUCGUGACCCAAGAAAUCAUAGCCAAUCGAGCUUGACCCCUCGGUCACGGGGCCUUUCCUUGGAAACUUGUCCGAAGAAGAGCGCUUUGACGCCGAGAAGAACGACCACAAUCUUUUCCAUUGUCUUCUUUCGUCCUCUUCUUUGGAUUGAUGGGAGGACAGUUGCCCUUUGGUGUCGACACCACAGUCAUUGGAACGAUAACUUAUGCGAUAGGUGUGGAGGAUCUAACACCUAUCUCGGCCCUUCCAGCCCUUUAUGCUCUCGAAAGUAGUCCUUGUUGCUGCCUGCCAAUGUCAUGCCCGCCAUUAUCCCUACACACGACAAGAGAAUUAAGUCAACGUCUGGAUAGAAAUAAGUUGAGACAAGUAGAAUGACAUACCAUCAACAUCAACGAUUUUUUUAAGGGACAAGUAAGCACAAACGAGAGGUCGGGUUGGGAUCUUGCGGGGAAGCUUGUCCAAGACUGACACUACUUCAAGGUCGUCCUCGGUCAUCAGGGAUCUCGACCACAUAUGGAACGUGUCGGAUCCUCCUCAAUCACGACCUUGAAGAAACUCCCCUCGAAGUUCUUAUGAGAUGUGGUAAAAUGAGCAAGGAGGUUAUUUUUCGGUUGGCCGACUAAAGAUAUUCAACUGAUCCGGUCUCCCGACGUCGUACCAAAAAAAUGUAAAAAAGACCUAGGCGUGGACUUAAGACUUAGCAUCUCAUAGCAACCGAAAAGCCUGAAGUGCAACCCAGUUAUUCAGAUGCAACUGGGUAGGAGCCACAUUCAAUAUGUGCAACACCUCCGUGGUGAACUCAUAAAAAAGAAAACAGACAUGAAUGUCCGAGAUCAAACAAGAAUAAAAAUAGAAAAAAUCUUUGGGUUCUCCCCUCUACCCAGAAAAACGGUUUCAUACUCUAUACACCUACGUAAUGCAAAACACCAUCUCGCAAACCUUUUAAAACGAUAUAUACACUCUCGGCAAAAGAUUAAAGCAUAGAUAAAAAAAAGUGGUGACGGAAAGGGAAGACAUGGUUACUUCCGAAGACUCUUCAACCGGUACACAUAAAUUAUAAGGAAAUUCACUCAGCUCUCAAAUUCUCGGAGCAAAUUCACAAUUUACGUGUGAACAAUGGAACCCACCACCAUCCCUAUUUAUAGGGGAGGAAAGGGCGAAUACGAAUCGCCACGCUUGACCUCCACCAUUGAAUCAAGUCGGCAUCAACGGUUCAGAUCAUGCAACUCUGCGCUUCCUGAAAACAUGUCACAUUCAUGCACCUCGAACGUACCAAUGAACUCUUCUACUCAACUUUCAUUUCAUAUGUCGAAUCACACGGUAAAGCACUCAUGAGGAGAAGACAAUCACACGAAGUAGCGACUUCCCGGUCUAUCAGUCAUCUAAGAUCCAACAUAGAGUUCCUCUAUUAGGGCCUGAGGGGCAUAUGACCUGGGGUGACCAUCUAGCCAAAGAUAAAGCAAUUUUUCUUUUACAGACUCUAUGUUACACUCAAAUCACUCCACUCGAGUCUGGGAGGCAAAUGUACUACCGAGUUCAUCAAAAAGAAAACAGACAUGAAUGCCCGAGAUCAAACAAGAAUAAAAAUAGAAAAAAUCUUUGGGUUCUCCCCCCUACCUAGAAAAACGGUUUCAUACUCUCUACACCUACGUAAUGCUAAAACACCAUCUGACAAACUUUCUAAAACAAUAUCUACACUCUCGGCAAAAGAUUGAAGCAUAGAUGCUUCUCGGUACUUAGAGAAAACCCCUCGAACUUUAUUAUCUACCCAUACAUAAUCGGUCUCUCGGGUUUCCUCUCCCUCAUAGGCACUCAGGGAAGAGGAAGAAGACGACACUGCGAGCUCUAAGUCAUUCCUACUCAAAGGACCAACAACCUGAGAGGACUUCUUAGUGCUCUCGGUAUCAUUAGAACUAGCAUCUAAGGUCGUUGACCUUCCCUUACUCGGACCCCCGGACAUAAAUGAAAAUAAAGUGGUGACGGAAAGGAAAGACAUGGUUACUUCCGAAGACUCUUCAACUGGUACACACAGAUUAUAAGGAAAUUCACUCAGCUCUCAAAUUCUCGGAGCAAAUUCACAAUUUACGCGUCAACAAUGGAACCCACCACCAUCCCUAUUUAUAGGGGAGGAAAGGGUGAAUACGAAUCGUCACGCUUGACCUCCACCAUUGGAUCAAGUCAGCAUCAACGGUUCAGAUCACGCGACUCUGCGCUUCCUGACAACACGUCACAUCCAUGCACCUUGAACGCACCAAUGAACUCUUCUACUUGGCUUUCAGUUCAUAUGUCGAAUCACACGGUAAAGCACUCAUGAGGAGAAGACAAUCACACGAAGUAGCGACUUCCCGGUCUAUCGGUCAUCUAAGAUCCUACAUAGAGUUCCUCUACUAGGGCCUGAGGGGCAUAUGACCUGGGGUGACCAUCUAGCCAAAGAUAAAGCAAUUUUUCUUUUACAGACUCUAUGCUACACUCACAUCGCUCCACUCGAGUCUGGGAGGCAAAUGUACUACCGAGUUGUCGAAAAAGCUGAGAAGGCCGAAUGAUCUCCUUAAUCCAAACACAACUCGUAAAACCACAAUUAACGGUAAUUAAGCCAGGUCAAUGAUAAAUCAUGAUUAAGGCGUGAUUGGGUCUUCUUUUGGACCCACGAGCAGACCCAUGACAGUUGGAGCUCAUCCAAAAGGUAUAAAUACCAUAGGAGACCCAGCACCAGGUAAUUUUUCACUCCCUCAGCUCACUUGUACCUUGUACUCAGACUAACUUGAUCGUCAGAGUGUAUUUGCAAGUUCCCCCCACUCAUAUUAGUGAAAGGAAGAACUAAUCGGAGACCACCGCGUCUAGAGACCGAGAAUACCGGAAGACGAAUACAGAAGGAGUCACUAUAGGAGGAACCCAACCUUUAAAAAAACAGAUACUAAUUUAGAAACUAUUUUAUAAAUUUUUAUUAAUAAUAAACGAAUUUAGAUGUCAAUAAUUUUUUUAGUUUAUAAAAUCAUUUCUAAUUUAAUCAAAUCACAAUUAAUUAUUUUAAUUUAUAAAAUUAAUUUUUAUUUAAUAAUUUAGAUGUAAAACCAAGAAGUUAAAAUCUAAAUCCAUCCGCAUGAUAUUUGAUACGGUUAAGAAUCUAGAAUCUACAUAGGUGCCUGUGUUGCCUCGUGGAUUAAAAAGUUCAUCACUCAGUGUUAGACACCUUCAAUACAAUGUUCAACUCACACCGAAUUAUUUGAUCAACCUAAAAGUCAGUCUUAGAAGAGGAAACUUAAUACCUUUCCACCAAAUGCAAUAAAUAUUGCAUAGUAUGUUACAUGGGAAAAAUAACUCAGAAACUAUACAAUACAGUGUACGUACUCUGUACACGAUUUAAAUUAUUUUAAGAAUGCAUGAAAACUAGUAAUAUAUAUUGAAUGACUUGCAUGUACGUGCGUACAUACGUAAAAGAAAUGGCAUGAUAGUACAUGACUACCCCCAUUAAGUUCUCCAUGGUAAGACUGAGACAUGAAUGCAGCCAUGGCCAGGAUCGUGCCAAGUGUUUCUGAUGUAGGUCAUAUGAAUCGAUAACCAAUAUAUCUGUCACUUUUAAAUAUUAUAUAUUAUUUAAAAAUUAUUAAAUAAAAACUAAUUUUACAAAUAAAAAAUAAUUAGUUCUUAUAUUUAUUAAUUUAGAAUUAAACAAAUUAUUAAUAUUUAAUUAAUUAAUAAAAUUUUAAAUUAUUUAAAUUAUAAAAUUGGUAGAUAAUUAAUUAAAUUAUAAUUUAAAAUUUAUUUAUCAAUUAUAAGCACUAAUUUAAGUAUUAAUGGUUUUUUUUUCUAAAUUAAUGUAUGAUUUAAUCAAUAUAAUAAAUAAUUAUUUUUUAUCUCUAUAUUUAAUUUUUAUUUAAUAAUUUUUUUAGUGAUAAAAAUCAAUAUGAAGUGACCAUAAGAUGUCAAAGUUUUAAAGUAUGAUGAAUUGUGGUAGAUUAUGAAGCCAACCAUAUACUGCAAUUUUUUUGUCAGAUAGAACUUUUUAUGCAAUUUCUAUCUACCACCAAAUAGCACACUAUUGAAGAAGAUAUUUGUUUGCACUAUUAUGAAAGGAAAAAAAAAGAGAGAACAAGAGACACAAGAGAUAUUGUAUUACACACACUAAACUAGGAGAACCGAGAGAAUAUAAAAGAAAACCAGAAGCUAGAGAGGCAACAUUUCUGGUAUAACACAUGCCAGUUAUAUUGUUAUACAUUAUCAUCCCCUUGAACUUUUGGGGGUUUAGCAACCAUCUUAAGUUUAUCUCUAAAUAUUUUGAAGGAAGAUUUACAAGAUCUUUGUGAGAAUAUAAGCUACUUGAAGUCUUCUUGAAAAAUGUAGAAUGCAAAAGUUUUAACUGAUUUGUAUAACAUUGGUAUCUUCUAGCCAGUCUAAUAGGAUACAACUAGGAAAAAAUAUAGAUAAGAAGCUUCAUGAAACAAAUAUGUAUUUUGCCUCCCUCAAUGUUUGUUAUCAUUAAAACUCUCUUAAGAAGCUAUAUCAGGAUUAAACCGUCUAGAGUCUCAACAAGCUUGUAAGGUUUAAAGACAUAUGGUCAAUCAAUUUUAAGAUGUUUGACUAUUAUUAGGCUAUGUUGUUACAGGAUAUGAAGUAUGUUCCAAAGCUUCAGAUGAAUAUUUUUUAGUUAGCAUGUUAGAUCUUUUGGGUCUUUCAACUGAAAUUGAGAAUGGUACUAUAAAUAUUUCAAAUGAAGCAUCUACAAUUGUUAAUGGGGUUAAAAAAAUUAUUUUCUUGAUGGCUCAAAUGUGAUUAUGCAUGUGUUUAUGGCUAGUUAGAUUAUGCAAGAUAAGAUAAAGUCGAGAUAUCUAAGGUUAGGGCACGUCUGCAAGAGAAGUUUUGUGGAGUUGGAGAAGUAUAACAUCUUGAAUGGUGAUAGUUUAAAGAAACUGAAGUUUUAUGAAUCAAUGUGUAUUGAAAAAAUCUCAUAAAUUAAAUGUUAAGACUAGUAAACAUGUGUCAAGUAAACUAUUUGAGUAUGUUCAUGCAUAUGUUUGUGAGAUUGUAGUGUAUCUAUAUAUCCUACUUUUUGACACACCAUUAUUUUUGUACCAAGUAAACUUUCUCUCAAUAAAUGGUAUAUCAAACAAUUCUACAUAUUCCACAAACCUAUUAAAUUCAUUUAUUUCAGUUAGUUUCACUUCUAGUUGGCCUCAACUCUUUCUCUCUCUUGGUUUUCUUAUCAUGUUAAAAUCUCCCAUCAUACACUAGAUUAUAUUGUUAUCACUUCCUUUCAACUUUACAAGCUCCUCGCACAAUAAUUUCUUUUAUGAGAAAGUGAUAAGUGUCAUAUUUCAGUAAUAUUUCAUAUUAAAAGACAGACACUUAUGAAUAUUAAUUGAUAAAAGAACUAUAAUUUAACUCCUAAUUUAUGAAUUUAAACCUUGUAUAUUUUGUGAUUAUAAUAUGAAUGAGAACGAUUUAUUCCAAAAUUUGUGUUAAUUUCAUGAUUCUAGGGGAAAAUGGAGAUGAAAUGGCUAAAUGAGAAUAAACAAGAUGAAAAGGGAAAGUUGGAACGCUCAAAACUCGCCUAAGUCAGAUCACUCCAAAGGUACUCACCCAAGCAUGCCCAAGCUUGCCCAGGCGAGAUCACUCUAAAGACGUUGGUAGUUUUCUCGUCCAACUCGCCCAAGCAUGCUAUAGCGCGCUUAGGCGAGAAGUCACUUAGCCCAAGCCCAACUAAGUUAAAUAUGAGGCAUAAGGCAUAACCCUUAGGGAUGGCAAAGCGGGCCAGCCCGCCCCGCAUUGGCCCGCCCCGCGCUUGGCCCGCAAAAAUGCGGGACGGGUUGGUCCGCCCCGCAAAGUUAUUGCGGGCUAGAAUUCCCAACCCGCCCCGCAUAAGAGCUGGCCCAAAGGUUUGCGGGCCAGCCCGCGUUCUUUUUUUUUAAAAUUAAAUAUUUAUUUUUUUACAUUUUGUUAUUAAAAAAUUGUCAAAUUAAACCUAUAUAUUUGUUAUUAUCAAACCUAAUUUUUUUCCCUUCCUUUUCAAAUAUAGUCAAACAUCAAAACAUUAAGAUAAAUAUCAAAUAUCACUAUUCUUCCACUUCCAAAACAUUAAAAAUACCUAAUUCCAAAACAUUAAACAUAAACAUUAAUUCAAAAACAUUAAACAUAAAUAUUAUUGACAUUCUUCCAUUUCAAUAACAUUGGAUGCCACCUUAGUAGAACCUUCAUCCAUUUUUUCAUAAUUAUAAUCUUCCCCGUCAUCUGCAUAUAUUAAAACAAUGACAAUUAAUUAAUUAAUUAAUUUUUCAUAAAAAUAAUACAAUAAAAAUAAGAUAACUUUUGGCUCAAUUGAUGGUUUGGUCAUGGGUAACUUCUAAAAUACCCUCUGCUUACUUCUCCUUCUCUAACUGGUGUCUUGCUCCUUUAUCGUGUUUGAAAUUGAUUUAAUUGGCAUGACCCAAUUUAGGUUGCCCUGCUGCUACUAAGUGUCAAUAUUUUUUCUUGCGGGUUUGCGGGCUAGCCCGCCCCGCCCCGCGCGGGUUGCGGGCUAAUGCGGGUUAGCGGGUUGAAAAGGUCAUCCCGCCCCGUGUUUUUUACCUGCGGGCCGCGGGCCGUCCCGCACGGCCCGCCCCGCUUUGCCAUCCCUAAUAAUCCUAUACAUCAUUGGGAGAAUAGAAUGUCAUAGAAAACCCUAGAGGAGGCAGCCGUCAAGGAGAAACAUCUUGGAUCUUCUUUUCUUGCUUUUUAUGCUUGUAAUGGCCAACAUGAGUGGUUAUUCUACCAUUUGAGAUUGAGAGUAAUAUGUUCAAACUCUUAUGUAUUGAGGUGAUAUUAAAACAUAAUAAUUUUUUCUUGAUUGAUUAUCGGUAUUGUCAUUUUGUUCUUAACUCUUGUUUUAUCAUGAUUUUAACCUUAGAUUUGAUUGAAAAAUAUUUCUAAGCAUUUGACCUAAAUGAUAAUGCUUAACAUAUUUGAAUGCUAUGAAUAAAUUUGAAAUGUUAAUUUCUAUCAACAUAUGCUCAUACGAUAAGGAUUUUUUUAUAAAUAUGUAAGGAAUAGAUAUUUAGGAGAUUAUCUUAAUAAUUUUAUAUGUGAGAAAUCAAUAUAAAUGAUUUUUAUAUGGACAUGAAUACCAAUCAAAGAUAGAAUAUUAUUAUACUUUUCAAAAUACAAAAGAGUGAGAAGAAUGAAUCCCAAUCGCAAUUGAAUCAAACAACUAUUUACUUUGCUUCAUUUACAUUCUUGCAAUCAUACAUAACAAACUCCCAACAAACUUUAUUAUAUUAUUUUCUAUUUAGUAAAUCUUAUACUUGAGAAUUCAAAUGUUUCUUGUUGGCUCGAUAUCCCUCCUUUAGGACAAAUUAUUCUUCUGACACAAUACAUUUAUUGUAAAAAAAGUCAUCAGAAAGUGCACGAGGAAUAUAUGGUUACUAUAUGACAAGUUUUAUCACUUCAUUUUCCUUUUAUCUACACAUAUCUUUUUCCAACUUGAGAUUAUUCAAUUCUAAAAUAGUCCUUCUGCCAUAUAUAUAGGAUCCUCCUACCCCAUUUAUUACAUGAUUAUGUAUAUAUUCAAACUUCCUAUAUCCCCAUAUGCUUAAACAUAAUUCAUCAAUUAUUAGAAUUGCUUUUUAUUUUUUGGAUACUAACCAUUUUAAUGUCUUUUUUUAUUAAUUAUGUAAAAAACCUCUUUUUUAUUGAUCUCCCAAACCUUGAAUAUUUAUACUUAAAAUAUUUAUUAAGACAUAUUUUUAUUCCAUUCCAUCCCUUUCGCUCUAUAAUUAUGAUCUUUGUUUUCCAUUUUCUCAAACUUUCUCAAACCUAUUCUUUCAUCGCAUAUGAAAUUAACACCUAAAAUUUUUUUUUGAGUUGCUAAAGUUUCUAUGCUUUUAUUGUUUCAUUAUUAAGACAUAUUAUAACCUAUUGAAAUUUCUAAUUGCUUCAUCAAAAUUUGAAUUGCUAAAAGAAUGGACGACUAACCUAAUUUGGUGUCAUUUUUUAGAUUUUGGUAUGAAUUUGGUUCUUGUUGAUUUUCUUUGAUUCUAUUACUUGACACUCCAUGGAGAAUGCUUCUACCUUCUUGAAACUUAGUUGGUGAUAAGUGUCUAAUUUCAGUAAUAUUUCAUAUUAAAAUAUAGACACUUAUGAGGAUUUAUUGCUAAUUUACAUAUAAAAUAAUCCAAUUUAUGAAUUUAUACCUUUUUACAUUUUUAUGAUCUUUAUUUGAAUAAGAGUAUUUUAUUCCCAAAUUUGGUGUUAAUUGCAGAUUUUUAGGGACGAUUGAAGAUUUGGAAUAAAGGAGAAUAAUUUGAGCUAAAAAGAGAAAGUUGGAAGGUCCGAGAAUGGAAAAAGAUGCAAAUAAAGGUUGAACCAUUUUUAUGUUUUAUCACUUAGCCCAUUAGCGCGACACAGCAAACCACCUAACCCUAGAAAAUUAGGAUAAAUAGGGGGCUAGAGAUUCAACCCUAGGUGCCUGAUUGAGAGGAAAACACCAUAGAGUGAAUUGUAAUCCAAUUGGGAGAAUGGAAGGUGCUAGAAGUAUGCGUGGCUAAUUCUACCCUUUGGUGAUUGGGAGUAUAACUGUAGAUAAAGAUUUUAACAAAAAGCUGGAUGACUUCUUAAGAAGAGAGGAUUGAGAAAAAAUAUGGUUUUAUCUUUCUAAUUCUCUUUUCUUUUUAGUUAUUUGAAUUUUGUCUUCUUUUAUUUAUUUUAUAGGUUAUUUUGUUUUUUGUUUAUUUGUUUAGUUUGUUUUUAUUGCUUAUUUUAAAUAAAUUUCCUGUUUUGUUAGUUUGUUAGUUUUAAGUCUUGAAUUAUCUUUCUUGAAUAAAUUUCAGUUUUAAUUUGUUUGUUUUCUAGUUUAUUUUUCUCAAAUAAAAAAAGAACUAGAAUAUUAAUUUUAAAUUUGUGUUUAAAUAUUAAAUAGUGAGAUGAAUUAGACACAUGUUAGAAAAGAAAAUAUGAUUGAAUCCCUAUUCAAAUAUAAUUGAAAUUGUGAUACAUGAAAAUUUAACAGGAUGAUUGAUCAGGACAAAUAAUGACAAGACAAAAAGGAAUGAGACCAAUUAAACCAAGUGAGUGUGUGUGAACCUUAAACAAUUUUGAGAGUUUUACUGAUGAAUUGACAGUUGUGGUUGCUUAAUUUUUAUUUUUGUUACAUCAUAAAAGAGCAUGAAGAUGAUUGAGGCAUUUGUUUUGUUAAUUAGGAGCCAUGACCAAAUAGCCAACCUUUAUCUUAUUAGAAUCCCAUUUUUUUAUAUAUAUCCCCUUUGGGCUAAGACAUUUUUUGUUAAUAUUGCACCUUAACUUUUAAUAAUAUAUUUUCCUACCCUUUAGCAUGUUUAAGGAAGGAGAACAUAGAUGCAAUACAUAUAGAAAAGGGAAUGAUUGGUUCUAAUUGUUGAAAAUUCAAAAAGUUGAAAAUAGGAAGAAUCUUUUCCUAUUAUUAAAAAAAAAAGAAACAAAAGAAGAAAAAAAAAUCAUGAAAAGUCAGAAAGAAAAUGAAGAAAAAGGUGACAUCGAAAGAAAGUGUGAAUUAGAUAACAUAUAUGUUCUCUGUAAUUAAAUUGUAGGUAUGUUCUUCUUCUUUAAGAUGUGCAUUUUGUUAUCUAAGAAAAACCAAUAUUUUUUGGAAGCUCAACCUCAUUACAACCCUGGAAAAGACCUCAAGAUUCAUGUUUCUAAUAUGUUUGUGAUUUGAAGAUGAAAUGAAAAGCAACCGUGAUUUGUUAUGAUUCAGUGAAAAUAAAGAGAAACACUUACCUGUGAGUAUAUGAGAAGAUAUUUCUUGAUGAAUUGUCAUUUGUUUGUUUUGAUUUGAUUCUAGAAGUUGAUUGUGUCUAUAUUUUUCUAUAUUUGAAUUUGGAAGCAUCAUAAGUUUCUAAUUUGAUCUGUUGUUUAGUGAAUUAAGUUGUUUGAUAUUUAAAUUGAAAUAUAUUCAUUUACUUGGCUUGAGGACAAGCAAGAUUCUAAGUUGGGGAGAGUCAUAAGUGUCUAAUUUCAGUAAUAUUUCAUAUUAAAAUAUAGACACUUAUGAGGAUUUAUUGCUAAUUUACAUAUAAAAUAAUCCCUAAUUUAUGAAUUUAUACAUUUUUACAUUUUUAUGAUCUUUAUUUGAAUAAGAGUAUUUUAUUCCCAAAUUUGGUGUUAAUUGCAUAUUUUUAGGGACGAUUGAAGAUUUGGAAUAAAGGAGAAUAAUUUGAGCUAAAAAGAGAAAGUUGGAAGGUCCGAGAAUGGAAAAAGAUGCAAAUAAAGAUUGAGCCAUUUUUAUGUUUUAUCACUUAGCCCAUUAGCGCGACACAACAAGCCACCUAACCCUAGAAAAUUAGGAUAAAUAGGGGGUUAGAGGUUCAACCCUAGGUGCCAGAUUGAGAGGAAAACACCAUAGAGUGAAUUGUAACCCAAUUGGGAGAAUGGAAGGUGCUAGAAGUAUGUGUGACUAAUUCUACCCUUUGGGAAUUGGGAGUAAUAUGCUCAAACUCUUAUGUAUGGAGGUGAUAUUUUAUAUAUUAAUAUUCAGUUCUUGAUUGAUUAUUGGUAUUGUUGUUUUACUUUUAAUUUUCCGUGACAAAUUGAGAAUCUUAAAUCUGACCGGGAGGUAUUUUUAGGGUUCGAACCUAAACAACAAUACUUAACAUAUUUGAGUGUUAGGAAUAGACUUGAAAUGUUAAUUGCUUUUAAACGUCUGAGCUUCGUUCUAAGUUGUUCUUAUAAUUAUGCGAGGGAUCGAUAGUUAGGGAACAUUCUUAAGGAUUUUAUAUGCGAGGAAUCGAUAUAAAUGAUUUUUAUACGGGCAUCAAUUUCAAUUAAAGAACUUAAUAUUGACAUGCUAAUCAAAAUACAUGAGAGUGAGAGAGACGAAACCUAAUUCCUAUUUUUCCAAUUGAAACAACUAAUUCUUUGUCUGUUUUUCUGAUUGAUCAUCGCCAACACAACUACUUUGAAUACACUUUUAAUUGUUUUGUUCUAUAUUUAGCGAUUAUUGUACUUGAUAUUCACUGUUCCUUGUGGGAUCGAUAUCCGUCCUUAGGGAUAAUUAUUACUUCUGACAAAGCGGUGCACUUGCCGUAAAAAGUCAUCAGUUGGCUCCAUUUGUGUUUGUUGGAUUAAGACCAUUCUUCCUUCCCCUUUCAUACUUGUGCCUCUUCUCAUAGGUUCUUUGUUUUUUAUUGUUUGUCAUCUUCAUUUCUACUUCUUAAGUUUGAUCUUUCUUCAUCUUUGAUGCUCUUCUAUGUAUUUCUUGAUUUCUCUUUCAUUUUUCCUCUUCGUGAAGACUUGGGAUUUCUGCUUUUACUCACCAUUUCACAAUCAAAAUAGAUAUUCAUUGUGUUGACUUAGGUUUCUGACUUUUGUUUAUUUUCAAGUGGGCCUUCCUAGGUUUGAUCAACUUCUAUACAAAGAUCCCCAUUUCUUUUUCCAUACUCCUUGCCUAAUAAGUUUUGGGUUUCGUAGGUUUUCUCUCCUAGCACCUUGUCUUAGUCCAAGCAUUUAUAGGUAUUAUGGUCUUCUUGCAAUGAGUUUGACACAUGUGUACAUAAUGUUGUCGUUGUGUGCUCCACAUCAUUCAAUUUCACCUUUUGCUUCAUUUCAUAAUUCAUGAAACAUUCACUAUGCUUUUGUUGCAUGUGUGGGCGACUUGUAAUUGAUAGCCAUGUUUGGAAAGGAUCGUUGUUGAUUCUUCCUCCAUGUUGACUUAGAAUUUUCUUCGCCCUGCUCGCUGUCUUGCAUAUCUCUGAUCAAGUUUAGGUUGUUGUUUUCAAAGGUUUCUUUCUCUGAUUGGAAACCAAGGUCCCCCUAUGUACAUAUUUUGUCAAUAAUUUUUGGUUAGACACUUGAUCACCCCAAUGUCAUUUGCAUAACUUAUUUCUAUUACUUUCUUUCUCUUAUUCUACUGAGACUUGGUAGAUAUCACUGUUGAUUUUGAAAGCUCUAUUUAUCUUAACUGAGUUUCCAAUUGGUAGCCUAACACAAAUUUGAGCAUAUUCCACCUCUUCCCAGUUUUCCGUCUUUUCAUCACCAUCAUUGUCCCUAUUGUGGCCAAAAUCUUUCGAAAGCAUGAUUUACUCCAAAGUGAUAUUGAGAUACCUCUAUAUCUUACCUAAAUGAGCUUAUUUCCUGUCACAAAUUUUUCAAGCCAUGAAGUUCUUACAAUAAAUAUUAUUUCAAACCAUGUCGCAUUUGUUGAUAUUCUUUUAUUCAAGUUUAAACUUUUUUUUUCAAUAAGGAGCACGUAGUUGUCUCAUAUAUGUGGAAUUUAAUGGAUUGCAGACCUCAAGAAUGAAGUUGUUCCUCAAUUCU